rnacentral:lncRNA from 1 species
AAAAAAAAAAAGUUGUUUCCCUUAAGUCAUGAAAAGAAGAAAUAUUGUUUUUGGUUCCGUUUGAUUUAUCAAUCAAUAUGGCCUGAAUCAAUAUGACCACUGAGAUAAUCAUCCAAAUCCAGAGAUAUGCAUGGUCGUCGCCCUCGUAUUAGAGAGGGUUGUGUGCAUGCUCAUAGGCUUACUUACAGUCCAAUUGACCUCACCAAAGUGAUAGAUUCCUUUCCCAAAAUCUUUUUGUGAAUAUGAAUAACAUAUUUCUUGAUGAUUUUUUUAUAGAUGCAACAGUAAAAAAUCUGUCGGAGGAUCUCUCGCCUACAUUUUAGUUUGCAUAAAAAAUGUGAAGUUUGGUUUACAUUUAAUGUAUACGAUUAUGGAUGUGGAUCUAUCGAUCUGUGUAUGUCAUUUUGAUGAUUCUUGGACGAGUGACGGUGCAACUAGUGGUUCUUGAUGGAUUAAUGGCACAUCCAGUUUAUUGGGUGAAAUCUCAACACCUUCAUCUUUAAACUCCAUAAAUGAUUUGGACAAUGAAAUGUCAACAACAUAAUCACGAUUUAUUUAUAUUUUGUGAAGGUUUUUAUAUGAUGACUUCUGCACCAAAGUUACAUGAAUUAGCCAUGAUUAUUAAGUUUUUAUCUAAAAGUUACAUGAAUUAGCCAUGAUUAUUAAGUUUUUAUCUAAAAGUUACAUGAAUUAGCCAUGAUUAUUAAGCUUUUAUCUAAAAGUUACAUGAAUUAGCCAUGAUUAUUAAGCUUUUAUCUAAAAGUUACAUGAAUUAGCCAGGAUUAUAAGUUUUUAUCUAAAAAUGAGUUAAUUCGUCAAUUACAUAUACAAACAACGUUUAGGCAGAUUUCGUUGCUUCAAUAAUUAAAACGUUUAAAUUCUAUUUCGUUGCUUCAAUAAUUUAAAACGUUUAUUCUCUUUAGUAACUUUAGUUGUGAUGCAUCGAACUUUGUUUGUAUAAUAAAGUUGCAUAUGCUUGUUGACACAAUAUUCUCAGUUUUCUAGCAUUGAUAAGCAUUUGUAGACGAUCAAAGAACCAUGUAGGAUACAAAUUAGUUGUCAAUAAUCUAAAAUACAAGUUAUAAUGACUUUGUACCUUACAAUCUUACACCACUUAUACAUUACAAUUCUGUUGGUCCAAACCACCUAAGAAAGAAAAAAAGAAAAGAUGAAGAUCGUUAUACCAAACAAAAAAAAACCCGCCAAUUUUCUAAAUUAACCCUUUUUAUUAGUAAAGUUUUCUAAAAAUCAACUUUUUUUUUGUCAACAACUAAAACCAAUCUUAGUCAAAUUUUUGAGUUAUCCAAAAGAAGUCGACAUUUUCGUUAGUUCCAAAAUAGCUCAAACUUUAGAGUUAUCUAAUUUUUUUGAUGAUACUACGUAACAAGUUUAACAUUCAAAAAUUACUCUAAUCGAAACAAACUUGAAAGAAAAAAACUGCUGUGGAAAUAAAUAAUACGCGUUAUCUUGAAAAAAAUAGGAAAACUAAACGCGCGAUUUGGUCAAUGUGGUCGUGGAUGGGUCACCUAAUCUUUUUAAUUUCCCUCUAAAAAAAGAAGAAAUAAAUUUUCUCCCAAUUUCCUCGAAGAAGAACAUUAGAAAAUAAAAUGUCAGGAACUGAAAAAAACUACGAAACCAAUCAGAUUCGGCCAUUUCUUUCCCUCUUUUCUUUUUUCUCCCAAUCACUCUUCAGAUUCCGAAAAAAAAAGCAAACAAAGAAAGAAAAAAUAGAUUCUUUAUCACCGGAGUUUUCACCGGACUCUUAAAAGAUGAAUACGCCGAACUGGGAACUCCGGAGUUGCUGUAACCGAAACCAGAACACGUUCCUCAUCACCAUCGGAAUCUUCACCGUCGUUAUCCUUGUGGUUAGUUUUUCCCAUCUAAUGUCCUUGAGAGAAAGAGUUUAAAGUUUUGACCUUUACUUGUUUUCUUCGAUUCAAAUUGAAGAUCCGACAAAUUUUUUUGUAAAAGUUAGUUUAAAGGGUAUCUCGAUUGUAGUGUUUUAUGCAACUGUUGACUUAUAAUUUCAUUCAAAGUUUGUGACUUUUGGCAUCAUAAAGUUUCUAUAUUUGUUCUUGUUUCUUAAGAUCUUCACAGAGAUUUCUUGGUUUUGUUUUUAACAGCUAUGGAGGACAUUUCUAUUGACUCCAUUUAAACUAAUCACGGUGUUUUUGCACGAAGCGAGUCAUGCUGUUGCUUGCAAGCUCACAUGUGGAGAUGUAAGGAAGCUCUCUCACUUCAACUACUACUUCAAUGAAACUAAAAAAGGUUACAAAACUGAUUUUAGGUGUAAACCCUUAAUUCAGUUUGUAAACUUGAAUUGUCCUUUUGAUUUGUUAAAUUAUACUGGUUGAUUUGUGAUCCACUUUGCGAGCAUAACAUCUCUUUAGAUAUGCACAUUUACCAGUCGAAAGGUUUGCUUUAGCAUUGAUGUCUCUGCAUUUUCUCUGGACAUGACUGUUUAGCAUAGAGUGGAUUUUAGCAUCUUGAUUCAGUUUGCAAACAUAAACCGUCUGCUUCGAUAUGGAAAAAUACACUUGGAACUCAGACUAAUUUUAGGUUCCUUGAAAGUUUAAAUGCGGUCGGGGUUCGCUUUGAAUAGGCAGAGAAGAUGUUUUUGUUAUCAUCCACUACUCGCAUGGCUUUCUUUAGCAACAAUACCUUGUGUAGAUUGCUUUAGCAAUGUUUGUCUUUGGAUAUGGCUGUUUAGCACGAUCGUAAAGUUGGCAUCUUGAUGUCGAGUUACGAUAUCCUUAUUUAUUGUGCCAUUCGCUAUAUUCCUCAUUUGGUAAACAUUGUUUUAUCCUCACUUGUAUAUGAUUCUCGCUCUAUUGCUAAUAUGUAAACUACUAAUAUACGAAUAUACGUCAUUAGUCUAAGAAGCCAAGACACACAGUUAGCUCAAACCUUAGCUUUAGGUCGACCGUAGCGUAGGACUAAAUGUUAACAGAUUAUAGCUGGCUGCUGGUCUGAGUUUGUGAGAAAGCAGUUAGUGAAAGCGAAAUCUGUAAAGAUGUCUCUGCAGAUUGUUAAGGCUGUAGAAUUUAUAGAAUUUGAUUGGGAUUCCGGAUGAAAGCCUUUUCAUUAAUAAGUUUCUCUAGUUGGUGAGUGUUAUAAGAAUAGCAGUGUACAGCUUAGCUCUUAUCAUAGUUCCAAUAAUGCAGAAAAGAUAGUAGAUAAGUUACACCGCUCAGCCCAAAAAAAAUCUUUGAUUAUGUAUUGAUUGCACAUUAUUUUCAUCAAAUGCGUGCAACAUUCUCUAUGUUAAUCUGCAACUUCAUUUUUUCAGUUUGCACUUUGCACAGUCGCAUAUAAUAUGGAUAUUGUGUGCCUAAAAACAAAUGUGGCUAAUUUUUGUUUGAACUUAAUCUUCUUCGUAUUGAAUCAAAAAGGUGGAGGGGAUGGAGGUGAAUGCAAAUGAAGGAGGUUCCACAACAACACGUGGCGGCAUCUAUUGGCUGAUCUUACCUGCUGGCUGUAAUAUACAAUCUGUCUAUCUCCCUUAAACAAAUCAACCAUUUUCAAAUUUGGACCUUCCAUUGUUGAUGGCUAAAAGUGUUACAUAUAUAUUUGUUGUAAUGGUUAUAGAUCUUGGCUCAUCAUUUUGGGGAAUGGCUUUGAUUCUUGCAUCUACUAAUCUGCUUACAGCAAGAAUAGCUGCUGCUGGUCUCGGUCUUGCUUUAUUCAUCGUCCUCUUCAUUGCCAAAAACGUAAGUAGAAUUCAUUUUUAUCUCAUUGAGGCAUUGACAUCAAACCAAUGACAUCCAAAUUUUCAACCUUGACAGUGGACGCUUCGAGGUCUUUGUAUAGGUGUGCUAUCUCACGGUUCUUCUUGUUAAAUUUUUCAUUUUUUAGUUCUCAAAAUGAUAGUUGACAAAAAGAUUCUAACAAUCAGUGAAAAAGUCUCUCAGGUUUCAUAGUUUUCCUCGCUAUCAUAUGGGUUCUACAAGAGUUAACUACAGUAAAAAUUCUCCGUUAUGUCAUUCUGUUCAUCGGUAAAUGAACCUCAUUUUGUUCAGUCUUGUUAACAUGUUUGAGUUUCAUCUUCUCCGUAUGAAAGCCAGAUUCUUGAUAUUGCAGGUGUGAUGAAUAGCUUAUUCUCAGUUUACGGUAUGUGUUUCCUUUUCUCUCCCAAUAACUUCACUUAAAGUUAUGAACUUAUGAACAAGAAAGAAGCCUCAUUUGGUUUUGUUCUGCAAUGGCUAUUAGAUAUCUACGAUGAUCUGAUAUCGCGAAGAGUCCAUUCAAGUGAUGCUGAGAAGUUUGCAGAGAUCUGUCCUUGCUGUACUGGUUGUGGCUGGGGUGUCAUAUGGUGAGACUUUAAUCCAAUUUUACACACAAAAAACAACAAAUCUUUGUUUUUUCUUUGUUUCUGACCAAAAAUGGUUUUGAUUUUUCAGGGGAAUGAUAUCUUUUGCGUUUCUUUGCGCAUCAUUGUAUCUUGGGCUAGUGAUCCUAUCAUAAAAAGGUGUUCUUUUGGUUUUGGCUUUCUUGUUUUUUGUUAAGCACAUUUUUGCUUUUGAAUUUUGAUUAAGCGUUUUCAUGAUUUUUGUGAAUUUUUGGUGUCUCUCAGGUUUCAAAUUCUUUCCAGUGAACUGCGGAGUCUCCUUUCUUUCAUCUAUGCGCAGUUUUUUAACAGAAAACAUUUUUUUGAUUAAAAAGCUUGAUUCUUUAGAUCCCUUUGAUGUAUUUACAUUUGAUUGAAAGUUUAGGGUUUAUCAUUUUUUUUUUAUUCAUUUUGGAGUUUGUGUUGAAUAGAAUUCAUUGAUUGUUCUGUUUUAAUGCAUUGUAAGUCCGUUGAUCUUGUCAUCAAAACAAAACUCCGUCGACUUAUUCCUGUAAAUGGUCAUAGUAUCCUCGAUUAGACUUCGUCCUUUCUUCCAAAUUGAUACUUAAACACCAAAAUCUAUUAUAUAAAGACUCAGCUGAGUCUCACAAACUUGACACAUCAGCUUUCGAAAAAAAUAAUUUUCUCAAUUCCAAAAAAAUCUAAUUUAUCAGCCAUGACACAAGUACAAAUCUAGUUUCUAUCUAGAAAAGUCAUUCUCUUACAAUAAAAAGGAAAUGCAUUGAAUUUAUAGUGUUAUUACUUUGUAAACGACACCCGAGAAAAUUGAACGAGGCUAAAAUAAAUUCAUUUUUAUAAAAUGGAGCGGCAUUCCACCUAUUUUUCAUUUUUCUCUUACGCGCUUAAAAAGCUCCAGAAAUCAGGUAUAGCGCAACUGCAGUCACGUUCAUAACCAACAUUAGAAAAGAAUUAAGGUCUUGAAAUAACAUAUCCAAAAUGCAUAUUUCUUGUGUUAAUUUUGUUUUAGUGAUUGUGGUUUUUAGUGUUUCAGAUCAGAAAGGCGAUCAAAUACAUGGAUAUAAUCACUCUACUCUACGUGUCUACGAGGAGGAAAUGAUAACCAAUCCUUCUCUCAUAGAAAGAGAGCUAGGAUCAAGCUGUAUGUAGUGUAAUUACACACUAUAUAUAUAUAUAUAUAUAUUCAUUCCUAUUUUAUGUAUAUAUAUAAGAAAAACUUUAUGUGCCAUUAAAAAAAUUAUUUCUUGUUUCCAUAUUAAUUUAGAGUUUUAUAUGAUGUUUUUUGUUGUUCGCAAAACAUUGAAAAAACCAUAAAUAGUUUGUUUAUUGCAUGCAUGAAAAAUUAUGAUAUCUUUGUAUGCGUAAUGCUCUGGUGCCUAACAAUAUUAUUAGGUUUAGAGCAGAUGAUAUAACAAACGAAGUUGAAGUUUUAGAGGCAUUUUGUCUUCUGUUCAAUUUCUGUUUAUAGUUUUCGUACAUCUUAUAUAUAUACAUAAAACUGACAUAUAGUGAAUGCUUAACUCAAUCUAAAAUCAGUUAUAAAAUUUUCUUACGUAGCGCCUUAUUUCUCUGUCACAUAGACAAAAUUCUUUGUGUAUCAGGAGAAUGUAAUGCCCAAAUUUUAUCAUAUUUACUUUAUUGACGUCCGAACUUUAUAUUUUUAUAACAAAAAAUGAAUAUUUAGAAAGAAAUUAUUGUUUUUAAUAUUUAUUACCCUAAGCAGAACUCAAAGGAUUUGAGAUGAGAUUUAAAGCUAAGCUGAAACAAACAAACGCAAUAUUUUGUAUUUUAUUGUGUGUCUUUGAGUGUACGUAUUUUGUUAAUUUUAUUUCAUUAGUAAAAAAAACAGAAAAUAUAUAAUAAACAGACAGAUAUAUGUCUUAUUUUAAAGAGAUAACAAUAGAAAGUGAUUUGCGAUUACGUAAUUCUAUCAUGAUCUAGAAAAUUUAAAUUCGCACAUAUAUAUGUAUAUAUAUUAUUGAUCAACUUAACUAUUAUAUAUAUAUAAAUUACCGCGUGUACACGCGAAGUUUUAUCUAGUUAUUGUAAUAGUUGUGUACAAAAUAUCAUGGUGUAGAAAAUAAUUGUUGUAGUUAAAAAUUCAAUAAAAAAAAUAAUCAAAUUCUAUUAUAUGGAGGAAAAAUUUCAUAUUUUGUACUCUUAUUAAAUUUCAUAAUAUUUAAAAGUAAAUUUCCAUUUUUCUUCAAAAUUACAGCGAAUAAAUCCUAACUUUUUUUGUUUGAUAGAUAAGCAAUCUUUUUUGUCUGAUGGUAUAAAGAGGUAUAUCGUUUGGAAUCUUCCGAGGUUCAUCUUGCAUUAUCUUGGUUCAUCUUCCAAUAUAUCUAUUGGUUUGUAGAUUAGGUUGAAGAAAAUGAGAAAAAUUUGUAGUAAAACCUUUCUUUGAAUAUUUCUGUUAUAACGAAUGCGAAAAAAUGAAGUUAUAAACAUAAGGAACACAACACAGAUUUAACGUGGUUUACCAACGAUGUGUUGGUUACUUCCACGAACAAAAAAACCUAUUUAUUAAGGGAGGCAAAAGGUUCAGAAAACUCUGAUGAAGGUUCUGAAUCAUAAUCGGAAUACAUCAGAAUCGGAAUACAUCAGAAUUAGGUAUCACAUAGGUAUUAUAACUACCUAGUUAACCCUAAUCAUUUUUGGACCUGUCGUUCACGCCUAUGUAACGUCCUUAAGCUGAUAGCUUCGACCCAUUACUCAAACCGACAAUCUGCAGUAAGCUUCGUAGCUUACACCUCAUCUGAAAACAACUCCGCAGCUUACACAAUCUGUAACCAACAUCUUCUACAGUUUGCUAUGUAGCUUGCACCUUCCAGAGGUCACACUUUCCGCAAGUCGCACCUUAUGGAAGUCGCACCUUACGCAAGUCGCACCUUACGCAAGUCGCACCUUACGCAAGUCGUACCUUCUGCAGGUACCUUCUGCAAGUUGCACAAUCUACAUUAUGCUCUGUAGGUCCGCACCUUCUGCAACUUGCACCUCUCACAGUCUCAGAUUUAAGGCACAUUAACAAAUCUCCACCUUGUCUUGAAUCGUCCAAACAGAUGUACCAGAUGCACUUUUACAGUGCCAGAUGUACCGAAUUUUUCAUUUGCCUCACACGUUUGAUAACACCUAAUUUUGACAUAUUUUCACCAUUGAUUUCAAAUGCUUUUUCAAAGGUUUUAAUCAGUUUUAGGAAUUUUUAUUAUGAUUUCCAUGUAUUUAUAGUUUCAAGACUUUUUUCAGGAAACUUAGGGAAAAUGAUGGCAAAAUGGAAGAAAUCCACUUUUUAAAGCUCAGAGUCAGACCGUCAGAAGUUCAGCCUCAAAUGAAGACUUUUUCAACGUCUGAUCUAGUUCAAAUUUGGAGACAAUCAAGAGGAGACAACCAGAUUUCCAUAGCACUUUACAUCACAAAGAUUCAAUUGUGCAAUCAAAAGAUACAUGGAGAACAAGCUGACCCAGUUUACCAGUCCUGGAAGACUCUCACCCGCGGCAAAAUCAUGUUUUACCUGCCCUGGAAGACUCUCACCCCCGGUGUACCUUAGGACGAGCCACAAGGCCCAACAUCAAAGCCCACUUCGCCAUUCCUCUUUAGAGAAGCCCUAAAUGAGACCUGGAAAAACUUAGGACCUAUAAAUACAUUGUUUAGCGGCUCCAAACAGGUGUGUGCUCCUGUAAUGAGAUUUUGAGCCACCAAAAUCUGUUUCUCUAGGGUUAGGCGAUGGAGAUGGGGAUUCUUCCCCAGAUCCAUUGUUCUUUCUCCUUUCAAUUCUACUAACUUUUCUGUUUCACUCUUUUGCAUUUUUCUAUGUCUUUUAUUAUUCCUUGCAUCAUGUAGAUCUGUCCCAGAGAGUCAAGUUGUUUUAAGAGUCAUCGAUGAUCAUAUAUAUCGAUUAGGAUUUCUAUAGUUCUAAACCAUAUUCUGGAUCUCAUCUCUUCUAAGUUGUUCAUAUUGCAUGAGAGUAGAUUCAUGACCUAUUUUCUGAGCCUAGGAUCGAUCAGAGCCAUGAGAGUGUUGUAUCAGAUCAUCCAUACCUAGCUUCAGAAGAACAUAGUCGCUAUAGGAGUCGAAAGCUACCCAUAGAGAAGAUGUGAGCAGACGAAUUCAAUGUCUAAUGCAUGAUCUUAUUUCUGUCAUGAGAGCGAGAGUUAAUUGUCAUAUCUAAGUGAUUAGUUGAUUAAGAUGACGAGAAUUAGUUAAUCAUACAUAUGUCUAUUGUAGUUCCAUGCAGAUUCCUAGAAACAGAUGAAGAUAAAUCGCCCGGAAGCUAAUUGUAAAUGCCACCAUACAUCGAUUAUAGUAAAUCGGAGAAGUCUAAAUUGCACCCUAUGAGUUUAAGAGUAUUUAGUUUGAGUCGAUAUGCUUGAGAUAUGCUUGAGAUAUUCUUUUAACAAUUCAUCAUGCAUUGCAUUUUAUCUCUUGUGAAUAUUAGAUUAGGUUUAGUUUAGGACUUUUAACUAAAAACCCCAAAACGUUUAUUGGUUUAUGAUUUUGCUUACUUCCCAGUUUGUUGUUUCUUGCAGAUUAGACAUUCUCCCUAUGGAUCGACACCCUAAGUUCUACAAUCUGUGCACUUUCAGAUUUUAGGGUUUUAUAAAUUUAAAACUUUCUUUAUGGACCAAUGAGCUUGUAUGAAAAACAACCCUAGGCCCGUAGCUCAUCAAAGUUUUUGGCGGCGUUGCCAGGGAGGUUCUUAGUCGCUGGAGGUCUAAACCUAGGAGGUUGAAGCCACAAAAGACAAUAUAUAUGUCGAGUUUCUGCCAAAAAAUCAUAGGAAGUAAACCAAACUCAUAAACACCCUAACUUUUUUUUUUUCUGCUUAUUCUCUCUUCUGUUUGCCCUAGUUUCAGAAAUCUUUGAAGCAUGGAUCAUCCAAGAAGAAAUCCUAACCCUGAUCGAAGGUUUUGCAACUUGUGUGAAGCUCCCUACGCAUGUGAAUCACCUUCCAGGCGUGAUUCCAAUCAUCCAGUUCGGCCAGAUCAUCCGAACCACCACCAUGGAAACUCGCGACCUCUACACCAUCGAGAUGAGCCCUUCACCUGGUGAAUCGUCGACCAUCUCAUCCUCUUUCUCAUCAGAUUAUGCACCAGAACUAUGAGGAUAAUCUGUUUAAAAUCCUGCUAAAUCGAUUGGAAGCCAAGCUGAAUCAGUUCCUUGCCUCCCAAGCCAUCAUCGAUGCUGCCCUGCGAACAAGGAUAGAUGACAUGACCGUCGACCUUAACAAAAGGUUUGAUGACCUCUCUGAGCAUGUGAAGAUACUGGAGAUCAGAUAAUCAAAGAUAAUGACGUGUCGAACCAGAGAAUGGAGUCUGUCGAAGAAGAGCAGGACAAAAACAAGUUCAACAUUCGACAAAAUGAAAGGGAGCUGCAAACCCUAACUUUCAAGAUCGAUGACUUGGAUAAGGAACUGAAUGAGAGCAAAAACCAGACCUACGACUACACAUUGGAGCUGUGGCAGGGCGUAGCUAAGGUUGAAAACAAGACAGAAGAGCUUGAUGCUACUCUAGACAAAGUUGUCUAUGCUGUAGAUGAAGUAGAAGAGAAAGUUGAAAAACUUUCUAAAGAUCAUAAGGAGUAUGAUCUGAACUCUAGAAUCAAUGAUUUGGAUACCCAAGACGUGCCUAACAACCACUGGAAGCAAGAGAACAAUAAUGGAGAAGAAGAGAUUUAAGAAGAAAGCAUAGAGAGCCGGAGGAAGCUGACCGCGGCUGCGAGUACUUCACCCGCGGCCAGAGCCACUUCCACCGCGACUCCAAGCUCCUCACCCGCGGUAGAGCAUGAUUUCUCAGAUUAGGAGAACUUCCAACCUCUUUCUGAAACCUGUUCAACUGCAGACCAACCCCUUGUGACCAGAUCUAGGUUGUUUGAUCAAGUUGUCUUCUCAAUCACUGCACAAGCAUCAAAAGAAAAGGAAGAAUCCAACACUUAUGAAUCUUGCAACAUAGUUUACACUUGUGACAAUGAGCUUCAAGAGCAAUUCUCAGAAGAUGAAGAGUAUGGUUUGUUUGUUGAAGAUCCAAACUAUGGGGACAAUUCAUCUAAUGACAACUCAGAACCAAUUACCAAGAGCAUAUCCAGAGAGAGACUGAUUGAAUUCAACAAUUUUGUGAAGUCCAUUCCUCUCUACCAUGGUUUCGACGACAUCUGGAAGCAAGGCUGCCUUCAAGUUUUUUUUUCAGAUAUAGCAAGAAGACUAAGGAGAACGUCUACACUUAUUUCAGAAGAGCCAGGUAUCUAUCUUUUCCUAGAUCAUCACCUGAUGCAGCUGUUUACAUGAUCCAUCUCAAAGAUCCCCACGAAGCCAUUGACUACACAAACAAGAUCAACAAAGAAGCACUUGAAGAGUCAAUCAAGUAGUUCAAAGCCUCCUAGAAGGAAUUUCAUUUGCCAAAGCAUGUAGAGACUACAUGAUCGGCCACUUCUUCUAUGACAGCAAAGAUUCUAUUCAAGAGAUGAAAGACUUGUUCACACACGCCCAAGAAGGUAGACCAUUUCGAAAUCUGCACAAAGUUCAAGACAAAGGUCAAUUUCUUAUAUCUUGUGAUAUUAGAGGUGAAAGAUUUCUCAAUAUUCUUUGUGAUUCUGGAGCUUGCAUUAACAUGAUGUCCAAAGCAACUGCUUUGAGACUUGGCAUUAAGCACAUUUCAAAUACCAUGACAAAGAUUAGCUUAGCAGAUGGUUCAAGUGCAACACCAAGAGGGAUAUCCCGAGAUAUUCCUCUAAGGAUUGGAGAUUGCAUUGCACCUGUCGAUCUAUACAUAGUGAAGACCAAAGAUGACUCUUAUCCACUUAUCCUUGGAUGGUCUUUCUUAGCAACUGCUGGAGCCAUCAUGGAUUGGCCCAACAGGAGAUUUUAUUUUGCAAAUAUCGACAAGGAUAUCUUCUAUCAAGCUACACCACUUAAGAGCAAAGGAGAAAAGCAGAAAGCCUAGGCCUUUGAACCAGAAGAAAUCUGGAGUGAUGAAGAACCUGCAAGACAGAAGAGAAGGAUUUCGAAAAGGACUUGUCUUAGGACAAGAUCCUAUUUGAGCUAAGUCUUUUUCUUUUGCAAGUGUAGCUAAGGACUAUAAACCAAAGCGCUUGAUGGGAGGCAACCCAUUUAGCUACUUAUUUGCUUCUGUUUAUCUUUCUUUUUCUAUUAAAGUUUUGGUUUUUUUAUUUUAGACAGGCCUUAGUAUGCCACAAAAAAAGGAAGAAAAAGAAGAAAGAGAGCUGACCGCAGCCAAAGGAGGUUCAACCGCAGCCAGCAAGCAUUUUGCCGUGGCCACGAAGCUUUGAACCGCGGCCAGCACCACUCGGCCACCCUUGGCCAUUUCCACCUCUACCUUGAUUCAAAUCCAUCCAAGUUGGAUCAAGCACCACUUCACAUCAUCCACCAUCCACCAUUCAAUAUCCUACCACCUCCACAACCACCUCAUAAUCCAUCACCACACCAGGUAAGUUUUCUUUUCCUUAAUCUUUUUAAAUUUUUUCACAUACUCUAUUUCUCAUCCUUGCCUGAUUUAUUUCAUACUGGGGACAGUGUGAUUUAAGUAUGGGGGAGGAUUUCAUCCCUUUCUAACCACUUUUUCUUGCAUGAGCCUUUGCAUUCUGCAUUUUUCUUUAAAAUUUUUCAAUUUUUUUUUCGAUUUUUCACAAAACUUUUCAAAAUUCUUUUGAGUUUCAAAAAGUGUUUUCAAAGGUCAAAUACAUUUUAAGGGAAUAAUGACAAAAUCGAUGAUGAUAACCAACCUGUUUGCUUCUACACCAAUGAUUCAUAAAAAGCUCUUUCAAGGUUUAGUAUUAGACUUGGCGGUAGCUGGAGUACUUACACUACGAAAUCCUACCAGAAGACUUCUAUUCAUGAAGAUAUUUUCUAACAGGAUAUUCUAGCUCAUCUUACUUGGACUUAAUCUUGACAUCUAAUUUUCUCAUCAAUGGUUUUAAGAAGGCAUCAUGAUAUACAUCUAGGACAUCUUUAUCUUAUUGUUACCACUCUUUGUUGUCCUAGAUGGCCAGUUCAUCUUUAGCUGGUACCUCACCUUUAACCCAAACCUUUAUGUUCUAACCUCAUGCAUUCUCUCUUAAGUAUAUAUUGACAGAUAUGUGCAAAAACGCCGUAGAGGGAGGAACAACAUAGUUUUCAGUCAUUCAUGAGAAAAACUGAAAAAGACCAGAAGGGAGUGUGCCAGAAAUCUUAUGAUUCCUCAGAAAAGCUCAUUCUUAUAAGUAAAUUUCAUGCUUUUUAAGAUUAAGUCAAAAGGCAGUUUCCCCUUUCCCAAAAAAAAAACAAAAAAAAAAAGAAGGAAAGGAAAGAAAACCAAAAGCCUAAAGAGUCUUAGAAGCCGAAAUCAUUUGAGCCAAGGCAAUAGGUAUCCACCUAAGGAGUUAUGGAUUCACAACCUAGACAAAAAAUCCAAGUCUGGGGGAACUAUAAGGAGAACCUGAAGAAAGGAGAUCAGAAAUCUUAAAGCAAAGAGAAUGUGACUGAAACAGUGGGGGCAUUUACAGUUCCAUCCUCUCUUGCUGUUUUGCAUAAUGUCUUGUCUCUCCAGAAAAAGGUAACCCUAAACACAUCAAACCUUACCAUUAAAAAGCCUUUUUGAUACCUAACCUUGAAUGCCUUGUUUGAUAUCCUUUUGAUGAGAAUCACUGAAACCUUUAAUAAAUGUUAAGAGCUAGGUGACUGGAAGUUAGUUCUAAGUGUGUGGAUUUUUGCAUGACGGAUUAACAGACUAGUUAUGUUUGUAUUUUGGUGAGAAUUUUCUAGACUUGAUCUGAUUGACGCAUUGUCCAUAAUUAAGGUCUAGAAGUAUGGUUGCUGAUAUUUUUGAGUUCCCUCUCACUUUUGUUGAAUGAUAUUUUUCCAGAUUUGAUCUUGUUUUGUUUGAGGACAAACAAAGUCUUAAGUCAAGGGGGGGGGGGGUUGAUACCACACCUGAUUUUGACCCAUUUUCACCAUUGAUUUCAAUGCUUUUUCAAAGAUUUUAAUCAUUUUUAGUAAUUUUUAUUAUGAUUUCCAUGUAUCUGUAGUUUAAAGGUUCUUUUCAGGAAACUUACGGAAAAUGAUGGAAAAAUGGAAGAAAUCUACUUUUUUAAGCUCAGAGUCAGACCGUCAGAAGUUCAGCCUCAAAUGAAGACUUUUUCAACGUCUGAUCUAGUUCAAAUUUGGAGACAAUCAAGAGGAGACAACCAGAUUUCCAUAGCACUUUACAUCACAAAGAUUCAAUUGUGCAAUCAAAAGAUACAUGGAGAACAAGCUGACCCAGUUUACCGGUCCUGGAAGACUCUCACCCGCGGCAAAAUCAUGUUUUACCUGCCCUGGAAGACUCUCACCCCCGGUGUACCUUAGGACGAGCCACAAGGCCCAACAUCAAAGCCCACUUCGCCAUUCCUCUUCAGAGAAGCCCUAAAUGAGAUCUGGAAGACCUUAGGACCUAUAAAUACAUUGUUUAGCAGCCCCAAACAAGUGUGUGCUCCUGUAAUGAGAUUUUGAGCCACCAAGCUAUGUGUUAGGCGAUGGAGAUGGGGAUUCUUCCCCAGAUCCAUUGUUCUUUCUCCUUUCUAUUCUACUAACUUUUCUGUUUCAUUCUUUUGCUUUUUUCUAUGUCUUUUAUUAUUCCUUGCAUCAUGUAGAUCUGUCCCAGAUAGUCAAGUUGUUUUAAGAGUCAUCGAUGAGCAUAUAUAUCGAUUAGGAUUUCUAUAGUUCUAAACCAUAUUCUGUAUCUCAUCUCUUCUAAGUUGUUCAUAUUUCAUGAGAGUAGAUUCAUGACCUAUUUUCUGAGCUUAGGAUCGAUCAGAGCCACGAGAGUGUUGUAUCAGAUCAUCCAUACCUAGCUUCAGAAGAACAUAGUCGCUAUAGGAGUCGAAAGCUACCUAUAUAGAAGAUGAGAGCAGACGAAUUCAAUGUCUAAUGCAUGAUCUUAUUUCUGUCAUGAGAGCGAGAGUUAAUUGUCAGAUCUAAGUGAUUAGUUGAUUAAGAUGGCGAGAAUUGGUUAAUCAUACAUAUGUCUAUUCUAGUUUCAUGCAGAUUCCCAGAAAAAGAUGAAGAUAAAUCGCCCGGAAGCUAAUUGGAAAUGCCACCAUACAUCGAUUAGAGUAAACCGGAGAAGUCUAAAUCGCACCCUAUGAGUUUAAGAGUCUUUAGUUUGAGUCGAUAUGCUUGAGAUAUUCUUUUAACAAUUCAUCCUGCAUUGCAUUUUAUCUCUUGUGAAUAUUAAAUUAGGUUUAGUUUAGGACUUUUAACCAAAAACCCCAACACGUUUAUUGGUUUAUGACUUUGCUUACGUUCCAGUUUGUUGUUUCUUGCAGAUUAGACAUCCUCUCUGUGGAUCGACACCCUAAGUUCUACAAUGUACAUCUGUGCACUUUCAGAUUUUAGGGUUUUAUACAUUUAAAUCUUCCUUUAUGGACCAAUGGGCUUGGAUGAAAAACAACCCUAGGCCUGUAGCUCAUCAACGUUCCAAAAUGCACUUUACCGUGCCGGAUGUACCAGACGUCCCUUGUAUCAGAUGUACCUGAUGCACGCUUGCCAGAUGUACCAGAAUUCCCUUCUAUCAGAUGUACUAAACGCACCAAUAUUAUGCCAGAUGUACCAGAUGCACUCUUACUGUGCUAGAUCUACUUGGUGUUAAGUAGAACAGGUGUCUCUACAGACCAGACGUCCCUUUGGACCAGAUGUUCCGUCGGACCAGACUCCACUGCGGACUAGAUGUUAUUUCAGACCAUACGCCUCUUCGGAUCGGACAUUGUUUCGGAAUAGACGUCCUUUCAGACCAGACGCCUUUUACCAGGCUCAUAUACUCCUCCAGAGCCAGAUGCCUUUCACUGGGCUCAGAUGCUCCUUCGAGCCAAACAACCCUCACCGGGUUCAGACGUUCCUUCAAGCCAAACGUCCCUUCGGACCUGUAGUGUAUGAUCCACCAUAUCUUCGAAGCCAUAUAUCUCUGUGGAUCCAACCUCAUUCCUUGUAAGCUGAUCAUGACAUGUACUACGGUGAAUAUUCUCAGAUGGUGUCAGUUCUGACAGAUCAAUUUCUGUCUGUAGCUCUUGAAUCUCUUCGUGUAGCUCAGAAUCAGUCUCGUCACGAUAUAUAUACAAAUCCACCUGCAUCUGUAACUCCACCUGCUUGUCAAAGCUACUGUUCUCUGUAGCAGCUGUGGUUAAAGGUUCAUCUUGGAACCUUCUUUCUGAAUCAACAUUAGAGAACAUGCACUUCGUUCUCCGCAGCAGCAUCUGAUUCAUCUGCUCAGAUACACCAUUCGGUUGUGAUGUAUCCGUAACUGCAUGAUGUUGGACAACUCCUUCAUCCUUGCAUAGCUGAUUGAGCUCUAAUGAACAGAAUUUCUCACCUUCCUCUGACAGAAUUUGCACCUUCUUUUCACCUAUACGACCAAAGCUCUUAUGCCACAGCUUUGUUAUAUCUUUGUGGUGAAUUUCUGAAGAUGCAACAUUCACAGAACCUGUAGCUGUGGAACCUCCACCCAUACCCUUGUGCCCUCCUCUGCUGCAGGUGAAAUCACCUUCAUCAUCCUCAUUUUCAUUCAAUGGAGCCGCAAAUCUCUAUGACAGAUAACAUCUUCAACUUUCUUUUUCAAUUUUAUCGAAAAAUGUGAGAUUAGACGCAUAUAGAAUGGGAACCAUCUCUAUAAAAACAAUAGAUUUUUUUUAUGAAGAGAUAUCUGAUGUCCAAUAUAAUUUGUUGUUAUAAUUUGUAUCUAGUUUUUUUGUUAUCAAAAUGAAUGUUCAGAUGAGAAUAUUGUAAAUUAAUUCUUAUCAUGAUAUUUUGAAUAGCAUAUGAUUUUGAUUAAUAUUAAUUAAAAUCAUUAAAUUGAAACUAUAUAAUAUUGAUAAGAACUUUAAAAUUAAUUAUCUAAUGAUACAUAAUUUUAGUUAAAUUUUAAAAUCACUUAAAAUGCAUAAACUAACAGUACCCAACUCAAUAUAUCUUGGUGAAAAGGUUCUUAUGUAAAAGUCUAAUUAUAUAAAAAUUAUAGUAAGGAAAAAGAAUGUGCGUUCUUUCAAAAAAAAAAAAAAAAAAAAAAAAGAAGAAUGUGCAGUGAGCAAUCAUAUAUUCCCUUUAAAUAGUCUCAGUACUGUCAUUUUGAGUUUACCCUCUGUCUCCCCUAUUUUUUAUAUUUACAGUUUUUUAAUAUUAGGUUUUUACUAAAAUAAAAAUUUCACAUCGUGAUUUAUCAGAUGGAUCCUAUCCAUUUCUCAAUUUAAUAAAUAAUAUUUCUUAAAACUUUUCUUGUCUUACUAUAUUCUCAGCAUUUUGUAACACUAAAUAUUUAAAAUGCAAUAUUUAUAUCUUUUUGGACUUUACAUUGAUAUAUAUAAACUUUCGAAUAUUAUUAUGUUAGAUACACAAUUUCUAACCAGAGAGGAAUUUACAUAGUAAAUAAAAUGAUAUUUAUCAUAUUUUUGUAAUUCUAUUAGAAUUAUCUACAUUUUUAUAUGUGUAAAGCUCAUAUAAUUGGUUUUGCAUUCUUAAUGAAAGUUUGUUAAUAGAACUAAUAUAAUUAUAUCAUGGAAGAAAAACUAAUAGAAUUUAUUUUUAAAAAAUGAUAUCAAUCUAUCAAUUUUAUUGGGCACUAAAACAUUUAGGGUCCUGCCAUUGACCAAUACUGUCUACCUCCCAUAUAUCUACCAUUAAGCCAAUACAAUUAUUUAAACACUUUUGUAGAGAAUUUUUUUCUACAUUUGAUAUUUAUAGAAAGACCUAAAAAGAAAUAAAAUCUAUACUUUAUCAAUAAUAUAAUUCUGAAAGGUCGUUUUGAGAUAUAUGUGAUAUAAUAUUAUAAUAUUUAAUUUAUAUAUGAUAUCUAAACUUUACCAAAUACUAAAGUUUUAUAUUUUGAUUAGUCUACAUUGAGAUUACAUAUUGUUUCAUUAAAAUAUUUUAUUUUUAUUUUAUGCUAAAUUUAUAAUCAAUAUUAGAGCAUUUAUUACUUGGUCAUAGGUUUUACUAGAGUUGAAUUUCAUAAAAUAUUAAAUUUGGUCAAAUUAAAAACAUUUGACUCAUUUAGAAUAUGUAAAGAGUAGCGAGCCAAAAGAAGUUGAACUUCUCAAAUAUAAAUUAAAUUUUCAAGCGCAAAGCUCAUGGUACAAUCAAGAAUCUGAAUAACUUUUGAAUGGCCACAUUAUUGUAUAUGAAUUACAUACAUGUAUAUGUAUGAUAGAAUAUAUAUAUAUAUAUAUGUUUUCUUGGUAGUGAAUGAGAGGAGGAAAAAAAAUAAGAGGAGAAACAAUGAGAAAAAGAAAAGUUCAUAAAAACAAAAAUCACAAAAUCAUAAAGUUUUUUCAUUCUUAUUGUUCUGCUCUUAUAUUUUUUUCCUGUCUCUCAUUCACCACCAAAAAAACACAUAUAUAUAUAUAUAUAUUUAUGUAUUUUUGUGUAGCAUUUGACCAUGCCAAUCCGAAAUGCUAAACAAAAAUAUAAUUUAUUUUUCCAGAUUACAGGCCAAGAGAUAGUAUGGAGAUAUAUAGAAGGCGAUGGUAUGAGGGUUACAAAAAUAUUCAGACUAUUAACUCAGAUUAAAAAUUCUGUGAGAAGAAAAUUCAGAUAUGAUUCCAGAAUUAUUUGUUGAGAAUCAAUCCAAAGUUCCACAUCGGAAGUUUAGACUAAUAUGGUCUAAUAUAUAAGUAAUGUCCAACUCUAAUUAGUAUGAGGUCUUUUGGGAAGGAGCCCAAAAUCAAAUCCGUGUGGGCUUUGUCAGUUGGGCCCAAAGCAAACAAUAUCAUACUAAUUGAAAAAGUUGGACAUGCGUUUUUCAAGCCCAAUAUUAUUCAGGUGAAAAUUUUCAUCACUAUUUUCAGAAUGAUAGGCUAAAGUGUAAGAGACAUUUUAUUAUUAUUGUAUCUCAAAAAACGUGGAAAUGUUACAUAAGCCUUUAACAGUCUUUUUAAAAAAAAAGCUAUAUUCAAGAUAUUUAGUUUUUUUUUUAAAUAAUAUAUAUAUAUAUAUAUAUAUAUAUACACAUAUAUAUGAUAUUUAAACUCUAUAAAUAAGAGUUUGAUAUUUCUAGUCCAGAUAAAGUAACGUUAUAAUGCUGCCCAAAAAAUAAUACUACAAAUAAUUAUUUUCUAUUAAAUUUACAUUAUAGCAUUUUUUUUUAUAACAUCUAUUUUAUUAGAUAGUAAAAAAGUAAUACAUCAUGUUUACAAGCCAUUUUGGCAAAGAUUGAAAAACAUAAUACAUAGCAUGAAAACAACAAUACAUAAAAUUAAAAACACAAAGCACUAAAUCAAAGAAGAUGAGUUUAAACGAUUUUUUUCUUCGAAUUUUUCUCGCUGAAAAAGUGUCCACACCUUCUUUCCUCGUAAUCGCAUUUGAUCUAAAGCGAUUUUUUUUUUUGCUAUGAUCCAUCUUUUCUCCUGUUGUAUGUUAUUGACACAUUUCCAAGUAAGAACUAAAAAUAUUCUAUGAAUAAGAAUCCAAUCUUUUGAUUCUUUCCAUAGAAAAAAUACUUGAAAUUGCCAAUUUUCUACGACUGUACGUAUGUCGCCAUACCACAAGGAGUUUUCAUCUUCCGCUCCAAACCCUUGUCCCCUCCAUGGUGGUUUCCAUGUUUGUUGUUCCCAUAGUAAUGCCAUAUCCGGCUGAAUAGAAUCAUCGAAGAAGAUCAAACAUAAAACCCAAAUUCGCCAAUCAUCGUUUCCAUGACUCCUAACUUCUCCUAUUCCCGGAUCAAAAACCCAAAUUACAUCUCCAAACCAUACAGUGGAGGAUAAUAAAAACUGCUGUGAGUGUUGAUUUAAUCUUGGAUCAAUUUGAGUAAAUUGGUUCAAGAAAGAAUUAAAAUCCCAACCAAAGACUUGACGAAUUAUAGCAUUUAUUAUUUGGUCAUAGGUGUUACUAUAGAUGAAUUUAAUGGAAAUGUUAUUUUUGGUCAAAUCAAAAUUAUUUAAUAUUUAUAAUAUGUAAAAAUUUGAUCCAAAAGAAGUUAAAACAUAAAUAGAAUCUCAAACCACAUGAUACAAACAAGAAUCUGAAAAAAAGUUUGGAAUCUCCAAUAUGAUAUACAUUUGCAUUAUUAAAAAAAAAUGGCACUCAUUGUUCUUCUCUCAAUGCUUUUUUUUGUUUCCUUCUCUCAUUCACCACCACGAAAACACACACACAUAUAUAUAUAUAUAUAUAUAUAAAUAUAUAUAUAUGUCAUGCAUUAUCAUUUAUCAUCUCAUCGAUCUAACUCAUGCACUCAGGAUCAUCAUCAAAAUGAUCUUCUCCCUCCAUAGCCUCUCUUGGAUUUCCGGCUUCCAUAUUCUGUUUUCCGCAGGGCUCCAUCACAUUAUGUUUCUGACUUGUCGACACUAGAUUCAUAGAAAGUGAUUGAUCAUGGUUGGUGUCAGGGGUUGAGUCCAUCAGGGUAUUAAAGGCAGAGUCAUGUCCAAUACACCUCGUCGAAAAAAGAAUAUCUUCCUUAGAAGAGCCAAAAUUUCGAACCAACAGUCAAUAUCCAUCUCAUUGACGUCAAUGUCAAAAUAAAUCAGCUCUUCGAUCGGAACAUCAUUAUCUUCCACAUAAGGAACCAAAGCCAUAUCUUCCAUAUUAGUUUCAAGGGAUUGGGUUUUAUUGGUUUCAAAAGAAGCAUGUCUUCAAGAAGAAGAAAACUUUCUUCAGAAAACAACCAAUCUAUCUGGUCUGUAUUGGUUUCGAAAAUGGUGGUCGUAUUGGUUUGAGAAGAGGUUUCAUAACUUGUUUGACCAGAAGCAAAACCGACAUGGGAAAUGACAUUUUGAGAAAGAACAUGAUUUUCUCCAGAAGAAACCAUACCCAUCUGGUUACUGAUUUCAGAGGGAAUCAUAUUUUCAGAAGCAACAUAGCCUUCUACUGAAGAAAUAUUGGUUUCAGGAACAUUUAUGUUCAUAUCAGUUUGAGGAAGAACAUAAUUUUCUAGGGUAGGAAUCCAAUCCAUCUGGUUCAUAUUGGUUUCAGAUGACUAAUGUUUUCUGUUGAUGGAACACAACCUAUUUGGUUUAUAUUGGUUUCAUGAUCGCGAAUAUUAUCGGUUGAUGGACUCCAACUUAUCUGGUCCAUAUUGGUUUCUAAAGUGUUCAUGGUAAAGUCUAGAUCUGGAAGAAAAUAACUUUCUCCCAUAAUGCACAGAUCAGCUUGAGGAACAUAAGGCUCUGGUAUAUAAAUAAAGUCUAGAUCUAGUUGGUUCCAAUCGAUUUCAAGAACAGAUGAGCUAGGUUGAAAUGGGUUAGGUUCAGACUGAGGAAUACAAAUCCCGGAAGACUCCAUCUGGAAUGCAUCUGUGUUAGAUGCACCAACACUUGAUGACAAACCAUAAAGAACAGGAGGGUUAUCACUACUUAAGCCACUAUGGUUAGAUGCACCAACACUUGAUGACAAACCAGAAAGGACAGGAGGAUUAUCACUUAAGCCACUAUGGUUAGAUUCUCCAACACUUGAUAGCAAACCAGAAAGGACAGGAGGAUUAUCACUACUUAAGAUAAUAUGGUUAACAUCAUGGAUAGAAAAAAUAUGGGAAGGUGGGUUGUUACUUGUGGCUGAAGGAGCGUAAUUGACUUCCAUAGGUGACUUGUUUAAUAGGUUACCAAAAAGUGAGUGUUUACUCAGAUCCAAUUUUCCACCUAGAUGAAACUUGGGCACCAUCUUCGCUUUGCCCUUUUCAGCAGAUUUUUUGAAUGAAUCUGCAUACAAGAAAAACAAAAAACAUUAUUGACACAAAGAUGUUGAAUUGUGAAAAGUAUAUAUAUAGUAAAAGAACAUGACUUGCAUUGGUCGAUGGAUCAGGAGGAUGCUUCCUUCUUUUUCAGAGAAUACCACUUUGUGUUACUUUCAACGAUAUUCUUUGCUAAGUUGGAUGCAUUGAAAGGAUAUUCAUAGUCUGAAGGGUAGUUGAAUGUCUUAUCUGUUGACCUCCAUUCAUUCCUCGACAACGAAUGGUUCAUUAGCUUAACUUGUGCUUUGUAUUUCUGAAACAAUUAAUUAUAGAAUAAAACAGGUUAUCAUAAGGCUAGUAAAAUUAUAUAUUGAAAAAGAGUGUAUAUAAAUGUAUAUAUGAACCUGAAGGUGGCUACCGACUUGGCAAAGAUUCAAGUCUGAGUCAUUCAUAAUGCUCAAUAUGGAUUUAGGACAAGAAUCUGUAGGAUAAAGAACUGUAAUCAAUUGGUAGAAAGAAGAAUUGGUCAAAACAAAAAAAAUCUUACCUUUUGCACCCAAUAUGGAUAUAGCUGUUAAAAAUAUCAUUUGGCGCUCCUGGAGUCAAUACAUUGCAUCGUCUUCCAAUAUUACUCUCCAUAUUUAUUCCUUCCUCUCUCUUGUUCUCAGCCUCAGUGGGAUAAACCGGUUUAGUUUUUCCUUCAUCAAUUGCUUUGCCUUUUCUCUUUUGGUAUGUUUCAGGGGUUGUAAAUGUUUUGACGAAGGGUCGUCUUCCUAACAAAGAUGACUGACUUGUUCUCUGCCUCUUUAUGGUUUCUCUAAGAGAUUCAAUCUGAUUUAGUAUAUUUUUCUCCACAACUUUCUCUUGUUGUUCAGCGAUGUUGAUUUUCUUUAACUCUUGGCUCUUCUUAGGUACCACAUGCUGCCAUAGGUUUUCGAUGUCGUUUUCAGAAAUCGGCUUCGUUAGACAAAAACGUGCACUUUUUGUCAAAAGAUCUGAUGUUUCCUUGGUAUUUAUUUCUGGACUUAUCACUUUAACAUCAAAAAAAUAGAUAAAUUAAUCUGUGGAAGAAAGUAACAAACAGUGUAAAGAGUAAGCGCAAGAAGAAUGUGUAAAUGUUUGCUUACGUAUAAGAGGAAUUUUUUUGUGAAGCAAAGCAGUGAGAAAGGAAUGUGAAUCUAUAUGAGGCAUUUCAAUGUUGGCUAUCACAAGUCCAGUAUCCUUUUGCUUUUCGAUCAUCGAUAAAGCCUCACUUGCCUUGUUCAAGCUCAUCACUAGUACAUCAAUUUAUAUAUUAAAUAUUUACAAAAUCCAAAAAAAAACAUUGUUCAAAACAAUAAUCAAGUUUCUUCCAUUUUAGUUUUAGUUAUAUAAAAAAGUUGAAAAAACAAUAGAUUAACACGCACAUUUUCGAUUAUAUAUGAUGAUUAGCUAACCUAAUACAUAAUAUAUUAUUUAUAUACAUAUUAAUAUUUGAAAGAAAUUUUUUGGGCUAGAACCAGACAUCUAACAAUCUGAUUAUCCGAUUAAAAUAUAGAAUAUAUGUAUUAAAACUCAACAAUUAUACAUCUAGGGUAUUCAAUAAAAAAUUAAUAAAAAAUUAGAGUUCAAAUAUUUUAUUAAAUUCUUUCUUAUCGAUUUUUAUUUAUUUACAAAAAAAUAUUUUAAAAGAGAAAUUUAUAUGCGUAUUAUCAAUUAUAUUUGAUGAUCGACUAAUCUAAUACAUAAUACAUUAUAUAUAUAUAUAUAAAUAUUUGAAAACUUUUUCCAGCUAAUACCAAACAUUCGAAAUCAUGUUAAGAAAUCAUUUCUAAAUAACAUCAGUUAUCAAAAUCUCAUAUAUAUUCCACAAAAUAUAGAUUAUACUAAAAUUUAAUGGUUUUUACAAAAUAGUAUCCAAUAUCUAUGACAUAUUAUUAUCCAAACUAAUAAUCGUAGGUGAUUAGGAUUUUCAACAAAAGGGUUGUAAGAAAAUCAUCUUCAAAACUGAGAUCCAAGACCAAUCAGUAGCCUAUAGCUUUAAUAUUCUGUAAAUUAAAUUAUAAAUUAUAAUUUUCUAUGCGAAUUCACAUUUCUUCAAAUUUGUUCAGAGAUCCUGAUUUAUACAAUGUAGAAAUCUCAAGAUCUAGAGACGUUGAAUUAUAAUCAUCAGGAAAAUAUUCAGCAAAUGCUAAAAUUUACCAUACCAAAUGUAACAAAUUAGAAUAAUACCGUUGAUAUGUAAAUGGAAAAAUGAUCAACAUCAAUAUAAAUGGUAAACAAUUUUUUUUUACCUUUAUACGAAAAUUGCUUAAGCAUUGAAGUGAGAAAUUCAAUUGAUGUAGUGUCAUUAUCGAUUAGCAGAACUGAAAUAUCACCAAUGCGUUCAGGAACUAUGUUUCCAGCCAAAUUUACGGUCAACUUUUCAGUCAUAUUUUCAAAAAUAUAUGAUAUGAAGGUUUGAAAUAAUAACCGAGUUAAGGGGAAAUAAGCUAUUGCAUGGACGUAUAUAAAAGAAAGAAUAGAAAUUGUAGACCCAACAAGGUCAUAAAUUGCAAACAACACCAGAUGAAGAAAACUAUUUUAAUUUCUAUCAAAUAUAUUUCAUUUCAUCAUUGACCCUACCUAUAAUAUAUUUUUUUAACUCUAAAAAUAUACCCAGUCUAAAGUAUAAUCUAUUAGUUUAUAUAAUUCAAAAUCUUAUCAAACACAUGGUAAAUGAUAUUAUAGCAUUGGUAGUGAUAAAUAUAAUUAUUUUGGGAAUAUUAUAGUGUUUCUUGACCGAUAUAAUUUGAGAAUUUACACGAUAGUCAUCGACUUAAAAAUCCAUAUAUAGUUAGUUGUUAUUUCAUUUAUAAAUUUUGACUAGAAAUAUACAAUUAGUUCAUUUUUUAUACAAUGUUUUAGAAAAUGAUUAAUUAAUUAACAAAAAGUAAACAUAGAAAAUUUUUGUAUAUGCAUAAAAGAUUUUUCAUAGAAAAAUUUGGUGGAAUUAUGUUUUCUCUUUUUUCUUAUAAUUAGAUAAUAUUUUUAUUUCAGUCAGGAAAAAAUGUAGCUACAGAUGUGUUUUAGAUUUAUGGAAGCGUAAAAUAUUCUUAAUAUGUAAAGUAAUAUAAGUUCUCUAUAUAUUACACAAAAUAUAAUUCAAAUUUUGUUAAUAGUUUUGAUAUCAAAAGUUAUUCAUGCAUGCGUUUUACAAUUCGAUCCUUACCUUAUUUCGAGUACAAUAGGCAUGUGACUGGUCAAGUUUUUAAACUCUUAAGUAACUUCCAUAAUUACGUAGAAACUCAAAAAAAUUCAAGAAUAGAAUAAGGUUCAUCUUUUUAUAAAUGUUUAAUUUGAAACGUAUGCUAACACUUUAAAAUAAAGUAUUGAUAAUUAUAUGUUGUGAUGUUGUGUAAUGUAUAACUAAUGCUCGUUUAGUAGUGAACUCGUGAUCAAUGAUGGACUCCAGCUACAAGUUUGUUUUCCUUCCGAUCUGUUCACUACACUACAAGAAAGAAGACCUUUUAUAUUGGAAGAUAUCGACGUAAAAUCGACGUAAUGGGCCAUUUACGUCAAAUUAGUGACGAAUGAAAAAUUAUCGUAAAACAAUCAUCGUAAAAGAGAAAUCGUCGUAAAAUCUUCGUAAAUUACCAACACAAUAAAAUCGUCAGAAACAAUUCGUCGCAAAAACGACGUAAACGUUCCAACGAAAGUACGACGAAUUAAUUUUAACACAACAACGACGUAAAAUCGAUGUAAAAUUACAUCGGAUUUACAACAAUUUCGAGACGAUCUAUUUCGCAAAAGUCAAAUAAAUUUAUUAUAGAUCGACGUAAAAUCGUCGUAAUAUAUCGACGUAAAGUCGACAAAAAGUAUAUGGACGUUUUAAAAUAUUUGCCUUUAAUUAGACGUAAAUUUACGACGAGUUUACGUCGAAUUAGAAAAAUAAUUAUUAAAAUUGGAUUUUAAUUUAAUUAUUGAAUUUUUAAAAUAAUCAAAUAAAGGAAAAUUUAAAUUUAAAUUCGAAAAUAAUUCAUAAAUUAAAAUACAAAAUUAAAUACAAUUUAAAAAAAAUAAAAACUAAUCUACACAGUAAAUUCAUAAUCGUCGAGGUUGAGAUCGACGUCUCGAGGAGGCUCUCCGUCAUGUCCGUCCGUCGCUGUUGUACCAUCGUUUCCCGUCUGCACUACGGGAUCCGAAGUCUGACCCUGCGUCUGCUGGUCAGAAGGUCCACCCGCAAUAAUCCUGUGUGCUCGCCGUUGCCUCUCUCGAAAGUGGAUCGUGAAUAUUUCUAAUCCGUUUUUGAAGUCUUCAGUCAAUGACCCAUCAACAUUUUUGGGCGUAUACAUCCACUUUCGUAGAUCGUAUAUAGACAUUUAAAAACAAAUAAAUGACUUUUUGUUUUUGAAUUUUGAUAUAAAUUUCAACUACUAAAAAUUUUACUCAAACAUUCAAAGACUCAAAAAAUUGUGUCUUUAUAUGUUUUUUUGGUUGAUGGAAUAAUGAGAGAAGAAAUGGUAUAUAUAGAUUUUUUGUUUGGUUACCAACAUAUUGCCAUUGAAUAUUAACAUCAAAUUUACGUCGAAAUAAAAUUUACAUUAUAUUUACAUCGAUAUUACGUCAACUACAAGAUGGAGGCCAAUUCAUCGUAUUAUCGAUGUAAAAUUUACGACAAUGUUACGACGAAAUGUAAUUCGUUCUUUAUUCGUCAUAAUGUUGUCGUAAGUUUAUGACGAUUUUACGAGAAUACUAUUUUAUAUCGAAACGACGAAAUAUUUUGACGUCGUACGUAAUUUCGUCGUAAAUUUACUACGACCAUAAAUCGACGUAAAAAAUUCGUUGGAAAUGUCCCUCUUUCUUGUACUAUACAAGGAUUCAUAAAUAAUGAAGCUGUUUUGUUCGGUGAGUGCAUUAAUGUGAGUUAUACAAAAUUUACAUUGGUUACAAAAUUAGGAGACCAUCUCCAUCGGUUUGUUAGGUAAUUUAGAUAAUAAUAAAAAUUAAGAAAUGAUUAAAAAGUUAACAAUUCGGGUUGUUAGGUUGUUGUGGAAGAACCCAGGAAUAUAUAAAAACGUGGCACCAUGUCAUUGGUGGAAGAUUUUUUAUGUGUGUGGGCUAAAAAUCAGGAAUAAGCCCACAUAAAAAUUCUUAAUUUUUUUAAUUAAAAAUUCAUAAUUAAAAAAAUUUUAAGAAACCCAAUCCCAGGUUUAGGGAUGGAGAUGUUUUGCGUGAGUACAUUUUCUCUUUCUUAUAUAAAGUGGAUCCACCAUAACUCCUAAACUAAAUGAGACACACGAUGAGGCCGCAUACAGUGUGGAGAAGGUACACAAAUUCCGCAUUAUCGUUAUAAAAGCUAUGCGAAGUCUUUAAAAAUUAUCUACCGUUCUAAUAACUAACUAAAGUAAUCACGAGAAAUAGUAGUUGGAUAACAAGAUUUUUUUUGUCUUUCUGCUAAGGGCGAAAAAAGUAAUGUAACCUGAGCUCUUUUGCAUCUCUUCUCCGGCGAUGCCGACAGCGUCGGUCUCAUCCUCUUCUCCUCAUGGGGUAGAAAAAACAACCCAAAAAAUCUCCACCAUCCAAACCCUUGUGCCCUCCUCUGCCGCAGGUGAAAUAACCUUCACCAUCUUUGUUUUCACUCAAUGAAGCCGCAAAUCCCUUUGCUCACUCAGUGGCGGGGGAUCCUUCGUCUCUAGCACAGCAAAUCCUUACUGAUUCUGAUUCUCUAGCCUCGACUGACAGCAACUCUCGCUCAGAUCCAAUUGUGAUAGUUCCUGCAACAGUCCAAGCCCCCAAAUAUCAUUUAUGUAAAAGUUGUUGAGACAACAGAUCCAGAACUGAAGAACUCAUCAGUAGAGGCACCAAUUGUCCCGACAAUCCCUGCCUCUGAAUCUGUUUCCGUGAAAUAGUCUUUGGCUGCAGUUCCGGAAAUCCUAAAAAGUUCAAAACCCACUGUGAGUGAUUUGUGGUCAGGAUUAUUCAAAGGUGCUACGAAGCAACUGCAGAAGAAAGGCACAACUUUUACCUUCCCAUCCGAUGAAGCUUAUGUGAAGAUUCUCAAAUAUGUAAUCGAAAAGAACAAAAAAUCCUGGGAAAGUUUCAUCUGUGGGCAAUUAUACACAGAUACGCCCUCCCAGAAAACUGUUCAUAACAUCGUGAAUGGAAUUUGGAGUAAGCAUUUCUGUGAUAUUACAGUAUCAAAGAUAGAGGGCAAUACCUACCUUUUUCAGGAUACCAAAUCCUUCCACUCGACAAUGGGUUUUAACUCAGAGAUUAUGGCAGAUAGAAGGUAAAACGAUGUUUGUCACGAAUUAGGAGUCUGGCUUUGUUCCAUUGAAGCCCGAGCUCUCGUUGUCCCCUAUUUUGCUGAACUAAGAAAUGUUCCUCUACAGUUCUUCAAUGAAGACGGCUUUGAACACAUUGCGGGAUUUGUUGGAGAGCCAAAAUGUCUCCAGCCUAUAACUGCAAACAAGACAAAUCUGUAAGUAACGAAGGUAUUCACGAUAACUGAUCCUCGUAAACCUCUUUCAGAAGUUGUCAAUAUCCAAUUUGAUUCUGGAGAGAUCAAUAGAGUUUUAGUGUCCAGUCUGUGGAUGCCACCACUGUUUUAGUUCUGUAAGAGGUGAAUCAUCAUCUGAGGCAGUGCAAUGAAGCUCCAAUCUUUUGCAAGAAGUGCAACUCAAAAAUUCACGUGGAAGAGAAUUAUGCAAGAACCGUCCUACCUGAACAAAAUAAUCCAAACUCCCAUAGAAACAGAGCCAAGGGAUUAGCUGGAAAUACUUAGAAGUGGGUUAAAGUUGCUGAGAAAUCAUCUGCCAAAUCUGUCAAGUUUACUGAGUCUUCACUGGGGAAAGAAAACAAAUCUUCAAAGGGAGAGUUCAGUGGCGCUGUGGUCUGGUACAUCUUCAAGGGAAGAUCGACGAAAAUGUUAAAGGUCCUCCUAUCCCUGACACAAAAAAAUCAUCAGGAGUGGAAUCAGAUUCUUCGGACGUUGCUUUUGUGGACUUCAGCAAUGUUGUAAACCUGCAGGGUGAGCAGAGUGAGUUCGCAGAGGUAGUUUCAAAAAAGAAGAAGAAGGAUAAGAGGGACAAGAGCCCCAACAAAAGCAGCUUAAUAAAUGGUUGAAGAAAAACAAACCGUUUUAUGAGAGUAUUAUAGAAACCCAUGUGAAACAGCCUAAAUGUAGGAAUUUCAUUAAUAGAUCGCUUCCCGGCUGGUCUUUUGAACAGAAUUAUGAUUUCUCCAUUUAACAAGUGUAAAGGCUGUUGUGGUGGCUAAGUCUUUGCAGAUGAUCACCUACAAAGUUAUGUUUCCUGAUGUGCAGCAGUGGGUUAUUUUGUCAGUGAUGUAUGUUUCUACAGUUGAGACUCUGAAAAAGGAUCUUUGGGCAGAGCUGAUUGUUUUGUCUUCAAGCCAGACUGUUGAAGAAAAAGAAUGGAUGGUCAUUGAGGAAUUUAAUCAAGUUCUCCAUCUACAUGAGCAUUCAAGAGCUAUUACUCUUAAUGUGGAUAGGAGGACAAGAGAAUUCAGGCAGUGUUUGUUGUCGGCUGAGGUGUCAGAUUUGAACUACUGAGGAAACACAUUUACUUGGUGGAAUAAAUGUAGUGCCAGGCCAACUGUGAAGAAGUUGGACCACAUUCUUGUAAAUGAGGUUUGAUCUACUUUUUUCCCCUCUUCAUAUGCAAUAUGUGGAGAGCAUGGUUUUUCAGACUAUGCUUCUUGUGUUGUCGUCUUGGAGUUGGGUUCUCAAAGGCAGAGGAGACCUUUUAAAUUCUACAAAUUUUGCCUCCAGAACCAAGACUUUUACCCUCUGGUUUGUGAACAUUGGUUCUCAUGUAACAUGGUGGAAUCAGCAAUGUUAUGUCUCUCAAGGAAGCUUAAGCUUCUGAAAAAUGUCAUAUGUAGAUUCAGUAGAGAUAAUUUCUAGGAUUCAGAGAAAAGAGUUAUUGAAGCUCAUGAGAAGCUUUUGCUUUGCCAGUCUUAGACUCUAACUGAUCUGUCUCGAACAAAUGCAAAACUGGCGUUUGAAGCACAAAGAAAGUGGCAGAUCCUGGCAAGUGCUGAAGAGUCCCUUUUCUGCCAGAGAUCAAGUGUAACCUGACUUAAAGAAGGUGAUUGUAACACUUCUUAUUAUCACAGAAUGACUGCAUCUAGGAAAGCCAUAAAUCACAUUCACUUCCUUAUUGCACCAGAUGGAGAACAUUUUGAAUAUCAAACAGGAGUUUAAGAGCAUUGUGUUGAUUAUUUCUCACACUUUAUGGGUUGUGAGGUUGGUCCCCAGAUGCUGAUCUAGUCGGAUAUGGAGCUCCUCCUUCCAUUUUGAUGCUCUCAGGCCCAAAAAGAGAGUAUGAUAAAGAGCUUCUCGAAGGAGGAAAUCAAACACCUGCUUUUCUCAUUGCCAAAAAACAAAACCAGUGGACCUAAUGGGUAUUCCGCUGAGUUUUUCACCUGUUACUGGAGUAUUGUAGGGCUGAGGUAUGUGAGGCAGUUGAAGAAUUCUUCCGAUUUGGAAAGCUGCUUCAGCAAUGGAACACUACAACUUUGAUCCUCAUUCUCAAUAUCACAAACGCCUCUUCAACAUCUGAUUUCAGGCCAAUAUCCUGUCUCAACACUAUUUACAAAGUCAUAUUCAAGUUAUUGGCAACCAGAUUUCAGAAGAUCCUGUCUCAGGUAAUAUAUCCCUCUUAAUAGGUUUUCAUGCCAGGUAGGCUGCUUGCAGAAAACGUUCUACUGGCUACGAAAAUUAUGCAUGGCUAUAACUGGAGGAACAUCGAUUCCAGAGCAAUGCUUAAGGUGGAUCUUAGAAAGGCAUUUGAUUCAGUAAGAUGGGACUUUGUCCUCUUGACCUUAAAAGCGUUGGAGUUAUCAGAAAUAUUUGUUAAAUGUAUCAGUCAGUGCAUCACAACUCCCUCGUUUACAAUUUCAGUUAAUGAUAUCACCAGAUGCUACUUCAAAAGCGCAAAAGGAUUAAGGCAAAAAGACCCUCUCUCUCCUUACCAUUUUUCCUUGCAACGGAGGCCUUCUCAGGAUUUUCCACUCUAGAUUUGAGGCUGGGUAUAUCCAUUACCAUCCCAAGACGGCAGAACGGAACAUAUCUCACCUGAUAUUUGCAGAGGACGUGAUGAUUUUUUUUAUGGUGGGAGUUCAUCGUUACACAGCAUAACUGAAGGAUUAGAAAACUUUGCGUCUUGGUCAGGAUUGCACAUGAACAGAGACAAGACUCAACUAUUUCAGGCAUGAGUAAACCACAUUGAAUCCACUGCAAUGGCAAGCUAUGAAUUCACUGUAGGUUCACUAUCAAUCCAAUACUUGGGUCUUCCCCUUAUGCAUCGUAAACUGAGACUCUCUAAGUAUGACCUCCUUUUGGAGAAGCUUGCUAAUAUAUUCAGAUCUUGGGCUGUUACAACCCUCUCAUUCCCAGGGAGAGCUCAGCUGAUUGCUUCAGUGAUAUUAGGAACCGUCAACUUCUAGAUUUCCACGUUUAUGCUCCCCAAAGGUUGUAUUAAAAAUUGAAUCUCUGUGUGCUAGGUUAUUGUGGUCUGGUAGUAUUGUGACAAGAUGAGGAGUAAAAGUAGCAUGGUUUACUGUGUGUUUGCCUAACUCUGAAGGAGGUCUGGGCCUGAGAAAAUUUUCUGUGUGGAACAAGACGCUAUGUCUGCGGUUCAUUUGGUUACUAUGCUCUGAAAGUGGAUAUCUCUAGGCUGAAUGGCAUAUCAGAGCUUCUGGUUGGUGGAGGCAUAUUCAGCUGAUUCAUGGACGUGGAAAUCUCUAUUGGAUCUUAGACCAUUGGCUGAAAUGCUCUUAGGAAAUCUGUUGGAAAUGGACGAAAAACAAAUUUUUGGUUGGAUUUUUGGACACCUCUUGGUCCACUAAUUAAACUUCUGGGUAAUGAUGGCCCGAGAAAUAUCAGGCUCCGUCUUUCUGCUAUAGUCGCAGAUACAUGCACAAUGGAGACUUGGAGAAUCCCAUCGCCAAGAUCUGUAGCACAGCUGAGUCUCCAUAUGCACCUAACGACUAUCAACUUACCUUCUUCCUCUCAGAUCGAAGAUGACUGUUUUUGGUUGGAAAAUGGUGUUAAGUGCAGCCAGUAUUCCUCCUCUAAGACUUAGGAUGAUCUAAGGCCACAACAAGGUGAAACAGUGGUCUAAGCUUGUAUGCUUUAAAGAUUGUGUUUCGAGGCAGGCUUUCAAUAUAUGGAUUGCACACUUGAAUAGGCUCCCCACUAGAGCCAGAAUAGCUUUUAGAGGAACAAAUAUAUUCACAGAUUGUUGUCUUUGUUCCAGAGACGAGGAAACGAGAGAUCAUUUGUUGUUCAGUUGUGCUUAUAGCUCGGAAAUCGGAAAUCUGGAGGCUGAUACUUACAAGGUUAGACCAUACCCAGAGUCUGUUCAUCUUGUGGUCGGAGUUGUUAUCAUGGAUAAGUAUGCGUUCUGAUGCUGCCCCUUAUACCUGAAAGGUGGUGGCUCAGGCUAUGGUUUACCACAUUUGGAUGUCAAAGAAACAAUUUGCUGCACAACUAAUAAAGGAUUCCUGCAUCCAGCAUUUUCAAGUCCAUUGAUCGUGUGACUCGAAACACCAUUACUACGAGAAGACAAAGACGUUGCUUUAGCAACUUUAAUGUCUCUUUGGCUUCAAUGAAACAAUAUAAAAUCUAAUUUACUGUGUAUUGUUCUCCUUGUUUUUUAUUUCUUUUUUGCCAAGGAAGUUUUGUAACAGGUUAGCAUCUUUUAUAACCUUCUUUUCAUUUUAAUGAUAUUAACAUUCAUAGCAAAAAAAAAAAAAAAAGAAAUGGUACUUGCAAUGUUUUACACCAUGUUUGUGUUUUAAAAAUAUUUCACACUACAUAUUCAAAGUUAUAAUGCAGGAUACAAUUUGUUUCUAGUCGAAAAGGUCAAAAAUAUCCAAAUUUUUUAUGUGGUGUUUUCAAGAAUUAUGCUUUUAAGAGAAUUUAAGAAAAUCGGACUAUUCUAUCGAGAUACUAUAACUUAUUCAACAGAAUAUCUAAAGCAUUUGUUCUGAAAGCAAGAAUUCUAGAUGCUCUUCUCCCCAUUUGUUUUUGGUCGAAUGCCACAAAAGAUGUUGAGAAUUAGGCACAAGAACCGGGUUCAAUAAGUUGACAAAUACCAAACCGAGGACCGACGUGGAAUCGUGGAGAAAAAGUUACAUUACAAUAAAGAUAAAUAAAGAAAAGGGAAGAUGACGUAAAGCUCAGAUUUGGAGCCUAACGAACUCCACGUCACCGCCUAAGUUCAUCCAUUGAAAUUUGACGGCGUCUUCUACUCUUCUAUCAUAACCCUUCGUUCUUUCAUGUGAACCACGUCACCGCCAUUCUCUUUUUUUUUUCUUUCUUAAUACAUUUCUCAAUAUGCGUCCAAUAUCAUAAAUAUAAUAUAUAUAUAUAUAUACAAUUUAACCUAUUAAGGCAUUGCAACUUGUAGUGAACUUUCAAAGGAACUUGCAUCCACAAAUUUAAACAUUUUUGCAUGUUGUAGAAUUGAACACGAAUAAUAAAGUGUGUAUUGAUGAUACACUUGUGUUACUUAUUUGACAAUUUAUUUGGUUUUCUUAGAAAAACUGAAACUGGCUUAUACAGUAUGUUUGUACACAUUUUUUGUAUUCGAAGAAAUUGGGGCAUCAUACAGUGACAUUGCUAUUAAUGUUUCUUCUAUAUCAAACCAAGUGAUAACAAAAUAUAAAAAGUAAUAAUGUUGACUUGUAAAUAAAGUAAGAAAAUUAAAUUCUGUCAUUUCAGAAGAGGAAGUAUGUCACAUGUAUAAUAGAUCAUCGAUACUUUUCAUGAGAACUUCCACAAGAAAGCCAUUGACUUCUUAUACCUUUCUCAAUUUUCCAGCUUGACCCAUUUUUUUCUUUUGAAGUUAUGAGAACUUUAUGUAUAAAAACAUUUUAGACUAGACCUCAAGAAAAUUCAGAUAUUUUUAUAAUUUGUGAAAAAAAUGUUGAAAUAAAUUGAUUGGAUUAUUUCUAUUACUAACGUUAAUCCAGUAUUAUGGUGGUCUAUAUUAUUAUUAUAGCCACCUAUACGGAAUGUUGAUGUGCCAAACAAUGGAGACACACAUUGUGUACUUGGAUUAAUGAAUAAAAUGACAUGUAUCAGUCUAUGGGACACAUAGUAAACUAGAUUAUUUCAUACCUAAAAUGCUAUAAUAUUUGAUUGAUAAAUGAUAAGAACAAAGAAAAGUUCUUGCAAGUUUGAAAAAAAAAAAGAGAAUAUCUUGACUCGUGCGGAUCUCAAACUUUUCUUUUCUAUCCUCUUCUCAAAUUAUAUUCCAAGUAAAACACGCAAUUACCAUAAGAGUUAAACAAUAUAAAAAGAGUUCUCAACUAAAUCUUCCAAAAGAGGCUUUCUCUUAUGGUUCACAUGUAAGUAUAUACUUUAAUUUACAUAAAAUUUAAUUUAACGAAUCCUAAUGAGCCUAUUUUCUGAACACGUACAAAUCAAUUUAAUGCAUAUCUUCACAUUUACACAAGAAUAAAGAAACUACACAUAUUUUUACUCCAUUGCUUCUGAAUUUAUAUAAUUCUUUCCAUUUAAUAUGAUUGAGUUUUUAUCCCUCUAACAAGGAAAAAUAUUAUAUAUAGAUACAAGGAAAGCCCAUUUCAUUAUCUAUCUUCUCUUUGAUUCAGCGAGCGAAAUAAAAACAAAAGGCCAAAAAUGGGUGCAGACGCAAUCCAAACGAACGGUCACGAUCCCGCCAAGUUAACCGCCGCGAGAGGGAUCCAACGGUUGAGAUGCGCCGUGAAGAACUACGAGUGGGGCAAACUCGGACCGGACUCACUUGUUGCGAGGCUCCACGAGGCGAAUUCAGGGGACCGAGUCGACCCGGUGGUUCCUCACGCCGAGUUGUGGAUGGGUACUCACGAGUCGGCACCGAGUUACGUUGUGAAGGAAGAAGAAUUCGGGUCGGGUCGUAAUGGAUCCGAAUGCAUGGUUACAUUGAAAUCAUGGGUUUUGGAUUAUCCGAAUUUACUCGGGUCUAGAGUCGUGGACAAAUGGGGUUGUGAUCUUCCUUUCCUCUUCAAGGUAUUAUAUUUUAAAAGUUUCCAAUUAAAACAUGUAUAUUCAAAACCUUCUUUCAAAAAAAAAAAAAAACAUGUAUAUUCAGAUUCUGUUUAUGGUAAAUCUUUUUGUUUUUCCAGUUUUGUCUCAUACAUAAUUGUUCAGGAACAAAAGUAUUAUUUAUUUGAUCCUAAGAUUCUCAUUUUGAAUAUUUUUGCUCUGUUUUGAGGAUUUUACUUUUUGACUCUGUUUUCUUAUAAAAUUUCUAAUUAAAAGUCAAAACAUAUAUAUAUAUAUAUAUAUAUAUGUAUUUUUUUGUAAUUUCAGAUUCUGUGAAUUGUCAAUUUCUCCACUUUUUAUAUUUACAUAUAUUAUAUAUACAGCCAAUUUGUCUUGUUAGAUACAUAUAUAUUUUGGCUCUGUUUUGAGGAUGAUACAUUUUAACUCUGUUUUCUCAAUUUAUAAAAAUGCAUUUCUUUUUCUCUGUGUGUUUUAAAUUUAAAACAUAAAGGUUUGAUUCUAAUGAAUAAGAGUUUGAUGUUGAAAUGUGCAAAAAAUAAAAACAGGUUUUGUCAGUGACGAAAGCAUUGUCGAUUCAAGCACAUCCAAACAAAGCCUUAGCAGAGAAAUUGCAUAGAGAAGAUCCUCUUCUUUACAGAGAUGCUAACCAUAAGCCUGAGAUUGCUCUCGCCAUUACUCCUUUUCAAGCUCUUUGUGGUUUCGUAUCUCUUAAUGUACUAGAUUCUUCACUUCUCUGCAAACAUCUAAUUUAGUCGGUUUUUGAUUUAGAUAACUUCGGUUAUUUUGCCUAUCACAUAUGCUAAAUCCAAAAUUGAACCGGUUCUGUACCACUUUUGAUAUCAAAUUCAGGAGCUGAAGGAAGCCAUCGCCAAUGUACCAGAAAUCACAGAGCUUGUCGGAAGUAAAGCAGCAGAUCAAAUCUUCAAAGUCAACGAACACGAUGGAGACGAAACAAGUGUUAAAUCCGUUGUCCGUUUGAUUUUCACGCAAUUGAUGUCUGCAAACAUCAAUGAUACAAAGCAAGUCAUAUCACAGAUGAAGAUUCGUCUGAUCUCAGAAACAAACCACCGUGAGUUAUCGGAGAAGGAGAAGUUAGUAUUGGAACUAGAGAAACAGUAUCCAGGUGACGUGGGCGUGAUCUCAGCAUUCUUCUUUAACCACGUCAAGCUUAAUCCCGGAGAGGCUUUGUAUCUUGACGCCAACGAGCCACACGCUUACAUUUCCGGCGACUGUGUUGAGUGUAUGGCGGCUUCAGACAACGUUGUUAGAGCUGGUCUCACUCCGAAACACCGCGAUGUUCAAACUCUGUGUUCUAUGCUGACCUACAAAUUGGUAACUUUCUUUACACGUUAACGUUUUUUUUGGUUUAGUUGGCUAGCAAAAUUUGGAUUGUACCCUAACCCUAACCAAAACCGAAAAUUUAUUUUUCUUUGUUUGGUUAUUGAUUAAUUGUACCGGAUUUGUUUCAGGGCUACCCGGAGAUUUUGAAAGGAUUUCCUCUGACUCCAUACAUUACGAGAUACCUUCCACCAUUUGAUGAGUUUGAAGUGGACCAUUGUGAUCUUCCUAGAGAGAAAUCCACUGUUUUUCCGGCCAUACCAGGGCCAUCGGUUUAUCUGGUUAUUGAAGGAAAAGGGACAUUGAAAACCGGUUCAUCUCAAUUGUUGGUUAAACGAGGAGAUGUUUUGUUUGUUCCGGCACAUAACGAGAUUCACGUAACCGGAGAAAGUGAUGUGAUGAAGCUUUACAGAGCUGGAGUCAGCAGCAGAUUCUUUCAAACAAUGUAGACUAAGUAAAGAUACAUAUAUAUAUAUUUAAUUUGUUAUCUAAAUGUAACCAUAGGGAUCAAGGCAUUGACGUGAUCAUAGUCAAUAUUGGUCCAUGUUCUUUAAUCCUACAAAUGUCCCAUUACGAAUCAAGGGUUCAAGGGGUUGUUUUUCUAUUAACUUUUGUUGUUUCUUCUACACCUUUAAAAUUGAAUUAUAUAUGUAAAAUGAUUAUAAAACAAUGUUUUUUUUUUUACUUUUUGCUAUUGUAGUGUAGUAACUAGUAAUUAUUCUUCCUUUACCUGUUUAAACUUUAAUUUCUAGAACUACUCUGCAAAAGCACAUUUGUUCAGUUGUAAUAUGUAGAGAUCGAACCACAGAGACGAGAAAUUCGCUCAAUAAACCUAAUAGACUCUAAUUGCGCUAAGAAGAAAUAAUGAAAUUGAGAGCAGCAAUGCAAUAAAAAACGGUUUUAAAUUCGAUGGGAAAGAAUUAGGCUCAGGGUGUUUCACAGAAAAUCAGAGAAUGCAGACAAAUCGAUUAGUCAUGAUUCAGAUUUAAGCGCAAUUCUUGAACUCAAAUCACGAAAUUAUAAUUAACUAACUUUUGUUGCGAAAAUUAUUUAAAUCUAAAUCCCAGAAUCCCAAUUUUCUUUGCAAUCCUAAAGAUAUAAAUUAGCCUUAAGUGCAGGUUCGAUAUGUUCACAAAGUGUCUAAACCAAUUUUUUUUGUGGAUAGCUACUUUGCUCAUCCUAGGUUCUUUCGGAUUAUUCAAUUACAGUUUCGUGUCAAUCAAUUAACCUAAGAUCUAAGUUCUAGGUGAUCAGUCCAAAAUUAGCUUUAAGAAUAAUCUAUGGUGAAUUACUAAUCAGAUUAUGACCCCUAACUAAUUAAUUAUCUAAAAUUCAAAGGGAUCCCUUAUGAGAACCCUAAACCUAACAAACAAACUACUCAAAUAUGGAGAUUGAAUCAAUAAACAUGAAUGAAUAGAUUGCAGAAAGCAGUAAAAAGAUUAAUAAACAGAGGUUCAAAAUCUUCUCUCAAACAAACAGAGUCUCAGACUUGUCUCCCUAAAAGCUCUCUCAAGAUCAAUAGAAAUCAAAAGUCUCAAAGAAAAUCUAGAGUGUAGCCAAAACACGUGGCUGAAAACCCUAUCAAAAGCUAAAACACAUGUUGGACUUCCCUGUAAAUAUUGGAGACUUCUGGGCUCAAGAGAUUCUUUAAAACUUAGACAAAAUCACGUUUUUCCUUAUUCACGACAUUGGUGUCGAGCAACACCAAAACAUAUAAAUCAUCUUUCACGAAUUUGAUCCCUGCUUAGUUCCAAAAUGCUCUAAAAUCUCCAAUUAAACUCCAAAUACAUUUAAGACCUGAAAAGACUCCAAAAAAUUAAAAAAACACUAAAGAGACUCUAUAAAUAAAACCUAUCAUGAUCAAAAACCAUAAAAAAAAACCAUGAUAUAUCAUUCUCCAUGAUAAGCAUUUUUCGAAUGGUCUGAGUCGAACAAAACAAUGUUCUCUAAAGUAUAAGGCCAAUUCUUUUUGCCUCCCUCGUCACUUACCUUUUGUUUGUGGCUUCCAUGGCAUAGACUAGAGAGAUGACCCCGAGAAGACCUAAUCUAGCACGCAUUUGUUUGGAUGUUGCUAAUGUUCCGUUUUAAAGUACAUAUGCAAAGAUCGUGGAAAGUAAAACGAACUCAAUCUUAAGUCUUGAGACAAUGAUUUUUGCCAAUUUUCCGGUAAGCUUUCCCGGUGAAAUCUUUCACUGGAAUGACCUGAUUAUGGAUGCGCUGGAAACUUGAGUACUAUAACGUGAUAUACUUAUAUGUCAAAAUCGAAUUUAAACUGAAUGAGAAAUGAGGAUUCUUAGAGAGUAUAGCUUGAAAGCUUAAAAAUAACAUAAGUUACCAAAUGACAAGUGUGAUUUGUCCCACAUUAGCAAUUCAACGUUACAUUUUGAACGUAGUGUUACGUUCUCCCCUUGAUAAUACUCAAUAGAUCUGCUUCUAGCCUGUCCCAACAAUCUGAUUCGGAUUGAGAAUUGCGGUUUUUGCGAACGUUGUUAAAGAUUUCCAAAAAAAAAAAUAUUUCAUUACGGCUUUUCACAUCAAAUCGGAAAAACUCUGCUUAGUUUUAACUUUUUAGGGAAUUUGAUAAAUAUUUGACAAACUUUGUGAAAAUAACUUUUGGAGUAGCAAAAUUCCGCAAAAAAAAAAAAAAAACUCAGAGUAAACUUACUGACAAAAGAAAAAAGUUUCCUCAAGUUGGUUUAGUCGCAUUCCUUUUGUCAAGCACUUAAUCCACUACAAAGACGUUUUGUUGUAAUUUAACCGAACUGAACAAUCAUUCCAAAUCUUAAUAAGCAGCUAAAGAGAGACAUUGAGAGACCAAGAUAAACCGGUUUACUUGCACCUACUUGCUGUUUGUUAAAGCUUUGGUUACAAAAUGUGAAACGAUUCCAACCGGACAGAAGAGAAGGCACAAUGAAACCGAAUGCCUCGUCUCAAUCUUAUUCUCUAGCCCAUCAUUAAAAACUUGCCUGCAGAGAAACACUCAAAACAUGAGUUAUAAGAAACAUGCUAGGAUCAAUCAGAACCUGAAAAGUGCAAUAUAGUACCUUGCAGCGAAAAGAUCUAUAACAAGAAGAUGAAUCCAAGCAGAAGCAAGAGUCAUUUCACUUGAGAACAUUUUCGCUAUUCCAGACAACUGCAAAUGAAAAAAAAAAAAAGAAAUUUUAGAAACUGGAAUGUACACAUUUUCUUGUUUUCGAUAUUUCCUGAUAAUUGGAGGAAAAAGCUAAAACCUCUGGCAACAUGUAUUUACUGGAAAACAUGUAUUUGAGAGUAUCAGGCGUCCAAGAAAGGUAUAACAAAUACGCGUAUAAUACGCCUAAGACGAUAUACGGUAUGCUACUCUCCAUACACUUUUUGGUCUGCACAAGGAGAAAACAUACACUCAAUUCAAUAUGAACUUUUUUGAUUCUGCACAAGAAGUUGUAAAACUGCUAAACAAAAACUCACAAUUUCAGCUUUUGGAGCUACAACCAUUAGAGUGUAAAAGGGUAAAACAGCGGUUGUUCCAACCGCAAAUACACUGCUUGCAAUCUGAGAAGUAGCUAUCCCUGCACAAGAACAUGUUAUGUCUCUGUCCUACUUUCAAUUUAAACAUUGAAGAGCUAUAGAUUCUAGACAUAUAUCAAGCCUCUUUUUGGUUUAUAAUGUUUCAGUUAAGAGACAUUACAUGAAGCUCGUACACCAGAGGAUUUCUUUUGAACAAGAGAGGACGAGUUCGAUGAAACAUUAGGGAAAAGUGCGAUUUUUGAUCCUCCGAUAAAGCUCCAACGAUUCUGAAGUCGAAUACUUGACGAACCAACGCAUAGUUUAGACUUGACAUUGCUGAGAGAAAGACUUGUUAUCGAGCUCUUAGCUGAAAUGUUGCGAUUCAUCAUCUGAAUCACCAAACAAAAUGAAUCAAUCUGAUGAAAUAUAAAAAACUUCUUUAUUUCUUAAAAUUUAGGAAUCUGAGACCAAAAGCACUUUGAUCUGAACAACAACGAAUCAGGAACAGAGUUAGGUUCUGUAACAGGGACCCAUGAGGAGUAAAUUCAACUUCUUUAAUGUCUGCGUCAAUUCGAUCUGAUUCAAAGGAUAAAACUUUAAGGUUACCCAUAAGGAAUCUGAACUAUUCGAAAUUGUAGAAAGCUCGACAUAAGAAUCUAAUCCGACAAUCUCCAACAACUGUACAUACAUACAUACAUACAUACAUACAUGAUACAUACAUACAUACAUACACACACAUAGAUAUAGACAUAUAUCUGCGUAUACCGAAAAUUGGAGAAGAAUUGAAAAAGGAAGAGAAAAGGUAGAUACCGAGAGAGAUGAAGAAGACAAAGGCUGGGAAAUGCAAGAAGAUAAAGCCAUCUGCGAUUCAAAUCUUCAAUAGUCUUUGCCAGAAUUUGGCCAUUCAUUACCUUCUUCAACGAGCUCUCUCCAUAUAUAUAUGUAAAGUAUCAAUUUUUAGAGAGGAGAGUUGAGAGUUUUCCACUGGUUGAAAAGGGUAAGUGGAGAAGAAGCUAAGAGAAAAAGUGCUCACUCACUCUUUCUUCAUCAGUGUGGACAAUUAUAGUUGCUCAUCCACCCGAAUUUUUUAAAAAAGUUUUGGUCUUUUUUAGUUUUCCUCGUUUACUUCUGUUUCGCAUAAACAAAAAAAAAAGAAAAAACCAUUAUGAGUUUGAGUUAAUUUUAAAGAGAAAAUCAAAUUUAAAGAUUCUUUAUAUUGUAUGUUCAAAAUUGCAAUAUAUUAUGGAAAAAAAGAGAAGAUUUUUUCCUAAUUUUAGAUAAAAACCUUUAAUAAAAAUCAAAAAAUUAUUAAGAUAUUAAUUUAACCUUAUAUUUUAGAUAUUGUUCUUUUUCUGGUCAAUAUAAAAAAUUACAGUUUACCAUUCUUAUAUAAAAAAAAAUUAAUUAGACUCAAAUGGAAUGUUUUUAUUUUUUUAACAAGAAUAUAACUUUCAUAGAACCUAAUACCCAAAAAAAAAACAUUUGACCCGACUAAAUUAAAAUUCAAGGAAAGAUUGGAGCUUUGAUCCUUUACUCGAUAAAAAAAAGGUUCUUCAUUGUAUGAUCAAAUGACUUGUCGGAUUGUAUUUGUAGGUGGCUCAUCGUAGGAUUAAUAGCUUCUCGGAUUUUGUUAUCCUUGUCUUGUGUUUUGCUUUUUCCGUGAAGAUCAAAAUUUUCUUCUAUACAUUCCUGCUAUAUAUUCCAUCAUGUUCUACCGGUUACACUUAUAAGCCUAUAAGGAUAUCUAAUCUACUUUUUUAUUUGAUAAAAACCUAAUAUCUUUGUUAAUGGAUAUUUGUGCUUAAACUGAAUUUAGACACAACACAGGUCUAGUUCAGGACAGAACAAGACAAAAGUGACAGUGCUACUUCUACUCAGCAGUGGUUGUGACUUCCUCUAAAGACAAAAGUUGGUGUUUCCACCAUUAUUUCGGUUUUGCUUUUAUUAUAUAUUUUAUUUUAAUUUAUUUUUCGCUACAUGAGAAUUGCAUUAACGAAGGACAUUAUAUAUGAAAACAAAAAAAAACAAUAAAAAGAUAUACAUACAUGUGUCUGACACUCAUUGUUUGUGAAAUCAGUUGGGAGUAAGAUAGCGCUUGAGUGGGCUAUUUGGUAUGAUAGCUUCUCUCUAUUGAUGGGCCUUAUUGACCCACCCCACUUCAGUUUUGUUUAGUCAUUCACAACAAGAAAAACAUGAAAACAAAAGCAACACUUGUCUUUUCUAUCUCUCAAUCUGUAAGUGGUAUAUGCGCAUUUCGUUGAAUUCGAUUGAGACCAAAACUCUUUUAAAACAUAAUGUAUAGUUCUUAGGAUUAUAUGGGGAAAAUAUAUGAUGUCUCAAAGAUUUUUCAUAACAUAUUAUAUUCCUUAUAAUAAAAGGUCACCUGGGGUUUUUCUAUAAACCGGGGUUUUUUUAUAAACCGCCGGCUUUUCUAUAAACCGCCGGCUUUGUCUCUGGAGAUGUUGUAUCAUCUGCCGGCUUUGUGUAAUCCGUUGGCUUUGCUCUGUAACACUAUGGUGAUCAAUAUAAUAAUAUUCAAUGAAAAAAAAAAAAGGUCACCUAAAUAAUUAAAAAUUUGAAUUUUUACGACUCAUAUUUCUAUCCUAUUCCAAAGCUAGGAAAACAACAUAAAGAGUUACAAAUUCUUACUAUAUAGUACUUCCAACAAUAUCUUUAUGUAAAUUUGUGCCAAGUCAUUUUGAGUGGAAAAUGUAGAAUAUAUGAUCCACAAGAUCCUUGAAUAUACUUGGGUAUAUAGAAAUAAAAAUGAAUAUCCGAGACUCUUAUCUACAAGCCUAUCCUUAAGAAGGCACGUCCACGAAUGUUUCUAUCACAGAUUUUCAGUGGGCCAUCAUCUAUUACUUCAAGAUAUUGUUCUAAAAAUGCAUCUCAACCUCAAGCUUACUAAUCAUGUGACAAAAGUGAUAAUGUGAAUCUAGUUUUUCAAAUAAUUUCUUUAUUCAAUGACGACUAAUCAAAGAGUUGGUAUAUUUUUGUAUUCACAGUUCUUCAACUUUGUAUAUUUUCAUAUCUUGAGCCGCAUUGUAAUUUGUUUUUUCUUAUAUGCAAAAUUCAAAAUCAAAGAUUUAUAGAACAUUACAUAUUUAUUUCAUCAGACAUUUGAGAAUCCGAUAGAAAAUGUCUCGCAAACCGGAAAACAAACGUUAAAUCCGGAAAUUAAAACAAAACUAAGGAAACCAAAAAAAAAAAAGCAGAUGAUAAAAUCAAAGGUGAGGAGGGAGAUAAAGUUUUUUUUUUUUGAUGUUUACACAAAGCAAAGAAGCAGUGAAAUUAAGCAUCGGUGAAGCUUGCUGGCUUGUAGGCGAUGAAACUGAUGCACUGGACUUGACGGGUGUUGUCGAAUCCGAUGAUCCUAAUGAAGGCCUGGGGGUACUCCUUCUUGCACUCUUGCACUUCCUUCAACACUUGAGCUGAGUCAGUGCAUCCGAACAAAGGAAGCUUCCACAUUGUCCAGUACCGUCCAUCGUAGUAUCCGGGAGUGCUUCCGUGCUCACGGUGCACAAAUGCGUUCUACAAAAACACAUUACACAAAACCAUUCAAAAACAUAAAUCAAGAUUCUGCUUAGGACCUCUAAAUAGUUAUUAACUUGAUUGCAAGAUUCAUAUGGUCCAAGAGAUCAAGCUACUCUAUAAAUGAUUUUUAUUACCUCCAACUCGAAUUCAACACAGGGAAUCCACUUGUUGCGGAGAAGGUAGUCAACUUCCUUAGCCAAUUCAACUUCGGUUAGGUCAGGAAGGUAAGAGAGAGUCUCAAACUUCUUCUUACCAAUAGGAGGCCACACCUAUUUUUUGCCAUUUUUCCAAAAUCAACAAAAACAAUAUUAGUUUAUAUGAUUCGAUAAAUCAAAAACCCAUAAAUUUGUUUUUGGUAUAAGAGAUUUGACCUGCAUGCAGUUAACUCUUCCGCCGUUGCUUGCGAUGGAAGUAAUGUCGUUGUUGGCCUUACGGGUCACAGGGAAAGCAGCGGAGGACUUAAGUCCGGUGAAAGGUGCGACCAUUGUGGCCUGAGCCGGAGAAGCGACCAUUGUAGCGGAAGAGAGCAUAGAGGAAGCCAUAUUGCCUUUACUCUUUUUGUGUGUGACUUAGGUUUGGUCUAGUGCUUUGGUCAUCUAUAUAUAAUGGUAACAACAAUGAUAACAAGGUGAGGGAGUGAUCGGAGGGCUCAGGAUCCAUGAGAUUGAAGUUGAAUAGGAUUAAGACCGUUGGAUUUUUGAGUGGAUAUGUGUGAGGCUUAAUUACAUGGUAACGGCCACAAAGCCUAAAGGAAAGGUGUUGAGACCCUUAUCGGUUUGAAUCACUAGAAAAAUGCCACGUGGAAGAUAAUUCCAUGAAUCUUAUCGUUAUCUAUGAGUGAAAAUCUGUGAUGGUGGUGCUACUCAUUUUAUUUUCCGGUGUGGGUUUAGCCUCUUCCUUUGGGGGAGAUAAAUAUUACUACUUAAAAGGCUUUUAAAUUUUCAUUUUCUUUUUAAACCUUGGGUUUGAUUAACGAUAACGUCAGGCCCAAAGUGAUUGUAGAAAAAUAUUGUAGUCAGAUUGCAAGGUGAUGUGAAUUUUUAAUUUACUAAUAGCAUCUCCAAGAAAUAACUUUUACAUUUUAAGUAUGUUAGAUCUUAAAUUUAAUGUUUGAAGGCAGGACAUAUCUCUAAAGGCAACUUCAAAUUUUCAAAUAUGAGGUUUUGUUCACCCCAAAAUAGCAUUAAAACUUUAAAUUUGAGGUUUAUAAUUUUUUAUUUACAUUUUAAUCUUUACAAUUAUAUAUUUCAUAAAUAAUUAUUUUAUUUUUAGCUUUACUAUUCUAAUCCAAACAAUUUUAUAUCUCAUGAAUACUUCACAUUUCUCUUUAUAAAUUUUAUAUUUGCAUAUAAAAUGAAAUUACAAACUAAAAUUAAAAAUACCAAUAUGAAAUAAUAUUACAUAACAUAAGAACCAAAUUUUACACAACAACAAUAUUACAUUUAAAAAUUUUAAUACAAAAUAAAGUAACAAAAAUAUAUAUAUAUAAAGUAGCAUAAAAACUUCAAUAUUACACAAUUGAAAAUAGUACAACAAAACUAAUAUUCCGGUAAGUAAUAAAGUUGUAUGAUAUUUAUUAAUAAUGAUAUAAAUAAGGAUUAUAAUGUAAUAUUUUAAAAUUUGUGAUAUUGGAUUUGAGGUUUUGCUUUUGGAGACAAACACCAUCAAACCUCAAAUAUGAGGUUUGACCAACUCAAAUUUGAAGUCCUCUUUGGAGCAGUGGCGGAGGCAGCAUAGUUUUAGAAGGGUCAACUGACCCAAGUAAAAUUCUUAAAAAAAUAAAAUUGUUCUUGAUUUUUUUUUUUAAUUUAUCCAUCUUCCAAGCCCAAAAUAAGAAUUGACCCCCCUAGAAUUUAAAAUUUAUUUUAAUCCUGACCCAUGUAACUAGUUUUCUUGCCUCCACCACUGUUUUGGAGAUACUCUAAAUGAUAAAACCACAAAAUAAAAUUUCAAAACAAAAUUGUUUUUUAUUUUGCAUUAUAAUGUUUUAUUAUGGAUUAUAAUUACCUAAAUCAUAGAACUUUUAUAAAUAGCUACAAAAAUAUAUAUUAGAAAAUAUUACAAGCAAUACUAUAAAAUUUUGAUAUUAAAUUACAUAUAAAUAACAAUAAAGCACAAAAUAAAUCAUAAAUUACAAUUAAAAUACCAAACUAAUGAAUGAAACUAUUACCAUAGUGCUCCAAAAUUAUUUAGCAUCUAUAUUUUUAUUGUAAUUUGCUUGAUAAAUGUAAAAUUUUUAUGAGAUAUAAAACUGUAGGAGCUCAACUUAUAAACAGAAAAAUUAUUACGAUUAUUUUUUAAAUAUAUAAUUGUAAAGAUUGAAUGUAAAUGAAACACAUAAAAUAUUAAAUUUGAGGUUUUGAGAGUUCUAUGUCAAAUUCUUAUCUUUUUAUAGAGUUUAUUAUCAUAUUUUCACGGGAACACACAUAAUAUUUAUCUUGAUUUCGUACAUUAAAUUUUGAUUAAUAUCGAGUUGUGGCUGUCCAUAGGAUUGUUUGAUUUCACUUGGUGAACUAAUGAUCCACGAGAUAGCGAACUCAAUAAUUAGAUGUUGAAUGAGCUUCUCAUACCAUAGGCCUUUUUAAGUUUUUAAUGAUAAUAAGCUUUUUCUUUUCUGAACCAUGCUUUAAUAUGAGAUCUGAAUCUGAUACCAAACAACAUGUAAAGUAUGAUCACAUGUAAGCUUCUUCUAUUUAACGGAAAUUUCUAAUUUGCGAUUUAACAUAGCUCUUUGACCAACUCAAUUGGGUUUGCAAUCGAAAUUUAUGGAAUAUAUCUUCGAUCAAAUGAUAUCUAAAGAGUUCUCUACUAGAAAGCUCAUAACUUAUGUAUGUAUUUUUCUUUUCUAUAAUAAAAUUAAGAAGUAUUUUUAUUAUAUAAAAGAGAAUCUUUCGGUAUGGAAACAACAUGUAGGAUAAUUAUAACUUACGAAAUCGCAACAUAAGUCAUUGUUAAUUUAGAUGGUAACAUUUAUCAAUACAAUAAUAUAAAAUUUCUAAUUUUAGUAAUUUGUUUUUUUUUAAAUUAUGUUUUUUUUUUAAAUUAUGUUUUUUAAAUAACACUAAUAAAAUAGAAAAAGGUAAAAUAAGAGGAAAAAAACAGAAACUAUGAAAUAGAAAAAAUAUAAACUAGAAAAUCUACAAUCUAUAAUAUAUUUUUUUACUUUAAAAAGAUUGUUUAUUAAGUUUGAAUUUUCUAAUGAUAAAUUAAAUAUAAUUUGUGGAUGAGUUAACAAGAUUUUAAUUUAAAAUAUACCUAUAUAUAUACUGAUCUUAAUGAAUUAUCAUUUUUAAAAUCUAAAUAUUUUAACAAUCUUCUGCAAGUCUAGUUAAAUAUAAAACGUAAAAAACUUAUCAAUCCAAUGAUUAGAUAAGAACUAAUAUUUAUCUUACACUAAAUAUAACUUUCAACCUAAUAAACCUAAACUACAUUAGAUCAAUGCUGAAUUAUUAAUAUUUAGAGCUUAAAUCUCUUUAAGAAAAAUAUACAAAAACAAAAUUCUAUCAAAAAACAUAGCAAAUUUAAAAUCGAUUAUAAAUCAAAUGAAGUUUGAGAAAAGACGAAACUAUUUGCAAUUUAAAUUGUGAUGGCGUUUAUUCAAUUUAGUAAAAAGAGGAGCAUUUCAAAAUCAAAUUUAAAGUAGACAGUUUUGGUGAACAUUGACCAAUAUCUGCCAAAUAUGAUAUGACCCCAAACAUAAAUUCAUGAUCAAACACUAAACAUGUUUUCCCAAAUCCAAAAGCUUUAAAAAUUAAAAAUCAAAAUACAAUCAAAAGCAAAACUAAAUCGAUGAAAUUAUAUCAAAUAACAUCGAAAGAAGAGAUUUAAGCUCCACGAUUACGAUUACAUCCACUUGAAAAUAUGGAUCAUCUGAAGAUUAUAGAGUUGCUUGGACAAAUUCUAAGUAGGUGGAAUUUAUCUCACUAAAUUUAAACUACUUUCUUUGGUGUUUUUUUAAUUUUAAUUUCAUCCAUUUAAUUUUAGGCACAUUUGAUUGAGUUUAUAUUUUAGGUCAGAGUCUAAUUUGUGGUAUUGGUUACAAAGAUGAUGAUAAAACAAAAAUUAAUUCGUAGUGAUUUGCGGGAGCAAUUCACAAACCUUACAACAUUUUAUAUAUAAUGCUUAAUUUGAUCAUAUGAUGAAAAUAAUAUUUACAUAACACUAACACUAAAAUCUACACACUGAGUGAUUAGAAACGUUAUAAAGUGAUAAUACAGAAAAAAUAACUAGUUUUGUCAAUCUCCUGUAAUUGACUUUUGCACAAAUUUAUGAUAGUUUUGCAUUAAAAAAUUUGUAAAGAGAAAUAAAUCCUAAAAUAAUCUUACAAACACCUUAGUUUGCUAUAGUAACCUACCUCACACAAAUCCUAACCAAUAUAACCUUACCAAAGUUGGAAAAGAUCUUUUUUCCUAGUUAACUAUUUAUUAACAAAAAUACCAUUAUUUAAAUUAUUUAUUUACGAUCUUUAUUUUUUAAAAAAAUUUCUGAAAUAACAAUUAAAAAUCUUUUCAUUAAUAAAAUUUUUUAUGAAAUAACUAUUAACUUAAUUUGAAAAACUGUUUUGUUGUGACAAAACAACAGACAAAAAAAUUGUCGGUGACGAUGAAGAUGAAGAUGAAUCCGACAUUUCGCUUGUUCUCCAGUGACUCCGUCGAAUCCCGUGUCUUCUUCCCUGAAAUUUUUCUCGAAGUUGUUGUAGCGUCGGCUGUGUAGAGGAAAAGUUUCAGCAUUGGUCGUUAGAUCAUGUAUGAUGAAGUUACAGCUUUUAAAAAUAAAACUAAACAUUAAUUUUUGUGUGUUGCAGGAAUGGACAUUCAUGUAUAGUAUACUUGUUAGAUCAUGUAUGAUGAAGUUAUUGUUUUGUGUAUGUAUUGUAUAGUUGUUGAAUCAUGUAUGAUAUUGUUAUUGUUCCGCGUAUGUAUGGUUGAGUUGUUAAAUCAUGUAUGAUAGAGUUAUUGUUUUUUGUAUGGUAUAGUUGAUUCAUGUAUGAUAGACUUGUUUAACCAUAUAUAGUAUGGUAAUGUUACUGAAUCGUGUAUGAUAUACUUGUUGAAUCAUCUCAAUUGAUGAGUCAACAUCGUCAAUGACAGUUUUGAACUCUAUAUUUUCUAUGAUCUCGACGCAUAGAUAGACCGUCUCGUUUUCAAAUUGACGUAAAAACCCAGCAAAUUGUCGAGUACUUGCUACAAAAACCGGAGAUAUAUCUUAUGAUAGUUUUUGCUUGUAUCUCUUUGAUUUACCAACAAAAUCAAAUCUACCAUCAAAAGAUGGAAGACUUUAUUUUCAACUGAUGGGCUUGCGGGUCUAAGGUAGUUUUUUUUAACAAGCCCGUUGGUUCUCCAAAAGUUUUUAAUUUAUAAAACCUUAGUGUCUGCAAGUGCAUAGAUGUACGUUGUAGGACUUAGGGUGUCGAUCCACAAGGAGAAUGUCUAAUCUGCGAGAAACAACAAACUGGGAAGUAAGCAAAGUCAUAAACCAAUAAAAGUUUUGGGGUUUUUGGUUGAUCUUAAACUAAACCUAAUCUAAUAUUCACAAGAAAUGCAAUGCAUGAUAAAUUGUUAAAAGAACAUCUAAAACAUAUCGACUCAAACUAAAGACUCUUAAACUCAUAGGUGAUGAUUUAGACUUCUCUGGUUUACUCUAAUCAAUGUAUGAUGGCAUUUCCAAUUAGCUUCCGGGCGAUUUAUUUUCAUCUGUUUCUGGGAAUCUGCAUGGAACUAUAAUAGACAUAUGUAUGAUUAACCAAAUCUCGUCACCUUAAUCAACUAAUCUCUUAGAUCUAGAAAUUAACUCUCGCUCUCAUGCUAAACUUAAGAUCAUGCAUUAAACAUUGAAUUUGUCUGCUCACAUCUUCUCUAUAGGUAGCUUUCGACUCCUAUAGCGACUAUGUUCUUCUGAAGCUAGGUAUGGAUGAUCUGAUACAGCACUCUCGUGACUCUGAUCGAUCCUAGGCUCAGAGAAUAGGUCAUGAAUCUACUCUCAUGCUUUAUGAACAACUUAUAAGAGAUGAGAUCCAGAAUAUGGUCUAGAACAAUAGAAAUCCUAAUCGAUAUCUAUGCUUGUCGAUAUCUUCAAACAACUUGAAUCUCUAGACUAAUCUACAUGAUGCAAUAAAUGAUGAAAGACAUAGAAGAAUGCAAAAGAAUGAAACAGAAAAGUUAAUAAGUUAAAAAGGAGAAAGAACAAUGGAUCUGGGGAAAAAUCCCCAUUUCCAUCGCCUAGCCCUAGAAAAACAGAGUUUAGUGGCUCAAAAUCUCAUUACAGGAGCACACACCCGUUUAGAGCUGCUAAACAAUGUAUUUAUAGGUCAUAAGGUCUUCCAGGUCUCAUUUAGGGCUUUUCUGAGGAGAAAUGGCGAAGUGGGUUUUGAUGUUGGGCCUUGUGGCUCGUCCUAAGGUCCACCGGGGGUGAGAGUAUUCCAGGGCAGGUAAAACAUGUGUUUACCGCGGGUGAGAGUCUUUCGGGACUAGUAAACUGAAUCAACUUGUUCUCUUUUGAUUGCACCGGUGGAUAUUUGUGAUGUAAAGUUCUAUGUAAAGCUGGUUGGCUCCUCUUGAUUGUCUCCAAAUUUGAGCUGGAUCAGACGGUGGGAAGACCUUCAUUUGUUACCAAACUUCCGACGGUCUAAUUCGGAGCUGAAAAAGUGGAUUUCUUCCAUUUUGCCAUCAUUUUCCCUAAGUUUCCUGAAAAGAGCCUUGAAACUACAAAUACAUGGAAAUCAUAAUAAAAGUUCCUAAAACUAAGUAAAACCUUUGAAAAAACAUUUGAAAUCAAUGGUGAAAAUGAGUCAAAAUCAGGUGUUAUCAAUUCCCCCAGACUUGAGACUUUGUUUGUCCUCAAACAAAACUAGACCAAAUCUGGAAAAUAUCAUUCAACAAAAAUGAGAAGGAACUUAAAAAUAUCAGCAACCAUACGUCUAGACCUUAAUUAUGGACAAUGGAUCAAUCAGAUCAAGUCUAGAAAAUUCUCACCAAAAUACAAACAUAACUAGUCCGUUAAUCCGUCAUGCGAAAAUCCACACACUUAGAACUAACUUCCAGUCAACUUGCUCUUAACAUUCAUUAAAGGUUUCAAUGGUUCUCAUCAAAAGGAUAUUAAACAAGGCAUUCAAGGUUAGGUAUCAAAGGCUUUUUAAUGGUAAGGCUGAUGUGUUUAGUGUUACAUGUUUCUGGAGAGACAAGAUAUUAUGCAAAACAGCAAGAGAUGAUGGAACUGUAAAUGCUCCCACAGUUUCUGUCACAUUAUUCUUGCUUUAAGAUUUCUGAUCUCUUUUCUUCAAGUUCUCCUUAUAAAUCCCCCAGACUUAGAUUUUUGUCCAGAAUGUGAAUCCAUAACUCCUUAAGUGAAUACCUAAUGACUUGGCUCAAGUGAUUUCGGCUUCUAAGACUCUUUUAGGCUUUUGGUUUCCUUUCCUUUCUUUCUUUUUCUUUUUUUUUUCUUUUUUUUUUUGAAAGGGGAAACUGCCUUUUGACUUGGAGUCUUAGGGAGCACGAAAAUUACCUUUAAGAAUGAGUUUUUCUGAGGCAUCAUACGAUUUCUGGCACACUCCCUUCUGGUCUCUUUCAGUCUUUCUCUUGAGUGACUGAAAACUGUGUUGUUCCUCCCUCUCCGACGUUUUUGCACAUAUCUGUCAAAUUAGACCUAAAAGAAUGUAAGAAAUUAGAACAUGAAGAUUUGGGUUAAGGCUGUGGUACCAGCUAAUGAUGAACUGGCCAUCUAGGACAACAAAGAAUGGUAACAAUAAGGUAAAGAUGUCCAAGAUGUAUAUCAUGAUGCCUUUUUAAAACCAUUGAUGAGAAAAUUAGAUGUCAAGAUUAAGUCCAAGUAGAAUGAGCUAGUAUAUCCUGUCAGAAAUGAUCUUCAUGAAUAGAAGUCUUCUGGUGGGAUUUUGUAGUGUAAGUAUUCUAGCUACUGCAUAGUCUAGUACUAAACCUUGAAAGAGCUUUCAUGAGUGAUUGGUGUAGAAGCAAACAGGUUGGUUAUCAUCAUCGAUUUUUUCAUUAUUCUUUCAAAAUGUAUUUGACCCUUUGAAAACACUUUUUGAAACUCAAAAGACUUUUGAAAAGUUUUUAAACAAUCGAAAAAAUGAAAAAUUUUAAAGAAAAUGCAGAAUGCAAGGGCUCAUGCAAGAAAAAGUGGUUAGAAAGGGAUGAAAUCCUCCCCCAGACUUAAAUCACACUGUCCCCAGUGUGAAAUAAAUCAGGAAAGGAUGAGAAAUAGAGUAUGUAAGAAUUUAAAAAGAUUAAGGAAGGGAGAAGUUACCUGGUGAUGGUGAUGGAUUGUGAGGUGGUUGUGGUGGUGAUGCUUGAUCAAACUUGGAUGCUAGGAAUCCAAAACAGAUUUGAUCAAGGUGGUGGUGGAAGUGGCCGAGGGUGGCCGGCUGGUGCUGGCCGCGGAUGAAGACAUCCCGGCCACGGUAGGACGCGUGCUGGCCGCGGUUGAAAGCAUCGCGGCCGCGGUGGAAAGCUUGAUGGCCGCGGCUGAACCUCCUUUGGCCGCGGUCAGCUCCUUUUUUUUGUGGCAUACUAAGACCUGUCUAAAAUGAAAGAAACAAAACUUUAAUAGAAAAUGAAAGCUAAACAAAAGCAAAUAAGUACCUAAAUGGGUUGCCUCCCAUUUAGCGCUUUGCUUUAUAGUCCUUAGCUAGACUUUGCAAAGAAAAAGACUUAGUUCAAAUAGAAUCUUGUCUUAAGACAAGUCUUUUUAGAAAUCUUCCUGUUCUCUCUUGCAAGUUCUUCAUCACUGCAGAGUUCUUCUGGUUCAAAUGUCUAGGCUUUAUGCUUUCCUCUUUUACUCUUAAGUAGUGUAGCUUCAUAGAAGAUAUCCUUGUCGAUAUUGGAAAAAGAAACUCUCCUGUUGGGCCAAUCCAUGAUGGCUCCAGCAGUUGCUAGGAAAUGCUAUCUAAGAAUAACUGGAUAAGAGUCAUCUUUGUUCUUCACUAUGUAUAGAUCGACAGGUGCAAUGCAAUCUCCAAUCUUUAGAGGAAUGUCUCGGGCUAUCCCACUUGGUGUUGCACUUGAAUCAUCUGCUAAGCUAAUCUUUGUCAUGGUACUUGAGAUGUGCUUAAUGCCAAGUAUCAAAGCAGUUGCUUUAGACAUCAUGUUAAUACAAGCUCCAGAAUUACAAAGAAUAUUGAGGAAUCUUACACCUCUAAUGUCACAAGAGAUAAGAAAUUGACUUCUGUCUUGAACUUUGUGCAGAGUUCAAACUGGUCUUUCCUGUGGAUGAUCUGGUGCCUCAAAUGCAGAAUAAGAAUCACAAUAGAACUUGGCAGCAUCGAACUCGAUGAUUGAAUCUAUGUAUGGCAUUUCAAUUCUCUUAGGUGAUUCAUCCUCCACAUCUAUGACAUCUGGUUCUUCUUCGGUGGUCUUCAUGAAUGGGAUAUGGGAGUCAUCCUCUUCUGGUUCAUCAGGGUCUUGGUGAUGCGAACUUGGAGGGAGAUGGCGGUUCCCCGCAGGUGGAGACGUUGCAUCCGCGGUGAAGAAAAGUUCGGCCGCGGUGGGGAAUCCCGAGGGUUGCUCAGCUGCUUCUCCUUCUUGCUCUUCCAGAAUGUCUUCAGGGUUAUUCUGGGUGUCCAUUGUAGGAUUUUCUACAUCAUAAUUGGUUGAUUCUUCUUCUUUUUUUCUGACCAUGAACAAGAGAAUCAUUCUUAUGAUUCUCAAAGUCUUUCUCACAACAAGGUUUGUGUCUCCUUGGCACUUAAAGAGAUGUUUGAUGUCAGAACUGGUUUUCAUGCUCUUGUGCUCAAGCUUACUCAGGCAAAAUUCAAUCUCUUGAAGUUCACCAUCUCUCCUUCCUCUGUACCAUGAAACGAUUUCAUUGGCAUCCUUGAUCUCUAGCUUAGCAGCAUUGGCAUCGAUGGAUCCUUGAAGGAUAUCAUACUUCUGUCUUGGAUGCUCUUCCUCAAAAGCAUCUAUCUUCCUUUUUAGGGCAGCAAUGUCUUGAGAGUGCAGAUCUUCUAGCGAUUUCACAUGGUGAGUGAGGUCAUCGAUCUUCUUGUACAGGAUAGCUUCCGUAACAACUUGAAAAUCAAGGUAUUGAUUCAGCAUAGCUCCUAAUCGUUUCAGUUGGAGCCUCAAUCGAUCAGCCUCAGCGUUUUGGUGCAGAAUCUGAUGAGGAAGAGGAUGAGAUGGUCGAUGAUUCACCAGGUGUGGCGAAUAGGGCUCAUCUCGAUGAUGUGGAGGUCGUGAAUCUCCAUGGUGGUGGUUCGGAUUAGGGUUCUGAAGAUGAUGAUCAAAAUCACGCCUGGAUGGUGAUUCACAUGCGCAGGGAGCUUCACACAGGUCGCAGGACCUUCGCUCGGGGUUAGGAUUUCUCCUUGGAUGAUCCAUGCUUCAAAGGUUUCUGAAACUAGGGCAUACAGAAGAAAGAAUAAGCAGGAAAAGAAAAAGUUAUGGUGUUUAUGAAUUUAGUUUACUUCCUAUGUUGCUUUGGCAGAAACUCGACAUAUAUAUAGUCUUCUGUGGCUUCAACCUCCCAGGUUUAGACCUCUAGAGACUAAAAACCUCCCCGGCAACGGCGCCAAAAACUUGAUGGGCUUGCGGGUCUAGGGUUGUUUUUUUAACAAGCCCGUAGGUCCUCCAAAAGUUUAAAAUUUAUAAAACCCUAGUGUCUGCAAGUGCACAGAUGUACGUUGUAGGACUUAGGGUGUCGAUCUACAGGGAAGAUGUCUAAUCUGCAAGAAACAACAAACUGGGAAGUAAGCAAAGUCAUAAACCAAUAAAAGUUUUGGGGUUUUUGGUUAAGAUCCUAAGCUAAACAUAAUCUAAUAUUCACAAGAAAUGCAAUGCAUGAUGAAUUGUUAAAAGAACAUCUAAAACAUAUUGACUCAAACUAAAGACUCUUAAACUCAUAGGUGAUGAUUUAGACUUCUCUGGUUUACUCUAAUCAAUGUAUGAUGGCAUUUCCAAUUAGCUUCUGGGCGAUUUAUUUUCAUAUGUUUCAGGGAAUCUACAUGGAACUAUAAUAGACAUAUGUAUGAUUAACCAAAUCUCGUGACCUUAAUCAACUAAUCUCUUAGAUCUAGCAAUUAACUUUCGCUCUCAUGCUAAACUUAAGAUCAUGCAUUAGACAUUGAAUUCGUCUGCUCACAUCUUCUCUAUAGGUAGCUUUCGACUCCUAUAGCGAUUAUGUUCUUCUGAAGCUAGGUAUGGAUGAUCUGAUACAGCACUCUCGUGACUCUGAUCGAUCUUAGGCUCAGAGAAUAGGUCAUGAAUCUACUCUCACGCUCUAUGAACAACUUAGAAGAGAUGAGAUCCAGAAUAUGGUAUAGAACAAUAGAAAUCCUAAUCGAUAUAUAUGCUUGUCGAUAUCUUCAAAUAACUUGAUUUUCUGGGACUAAUCUACAUGAUGCAAUGAAUGAUGAAAGACAUAGAAGAAUGCAAAAGAAUGAAACAGAAAAGUUAAAAAGUUAAAAAGGAGAAAGAACAAUGGAUCUGGGAAAUAAUCCCCAUCUACAUCGCAUAACCCUAGAAAACAGAGUUUGGUGGCUCAAAAUCUCAUUACAGGAGCACACACCCGUUUUGGACUGCUAAACAAUGUAUUUAUAGGUCCUAAGGUCUUCCAGAUCUCAUUUAGGGCUUAUCUGAGGAGAAAUGGCGAAGUGGGCUUUGAUGUUGGGCCUUGUGGCUCAUCCUAAGGUCCACCGGGGGUGAGAGUCUUCUAAUACAGGUAAAACAUGUGUUUACCGCAGGUGAGUCUUCCAGGACUGGUGAACUGGAUCAACUUGUUCUCCAUGUAUCUUUUGAUUGCACCGGUGGAUCUUUGUAAUGUAAAGUGCUAUGGAAAGCUGGUUGUCUCCUCUUGAUUGUCUCCAAAUUUGAGCUGGAUCUGACGGUGGGAAAGCUUCCAUUUGUUACGAUCUAACUCUAAGCUGAAAAAUUGGAUUUCUUCUAUUUUGCCAUCAUUUUCUAUAAGUUUCUUGAAAAAAGCCUUAAAACUACAACUACAUGGAAAUCAUAAUAAAAGUUCUUAAAACUAAAUAAAACAUUUGAAAAAAAAUUGAAAUCAAUAGUAAAAAUGGGUAAAAAUCAAGUGUUAUCAUCAAUGUGUGAUAGUUGAUGCUGAUGUGAAAGAGAAAUAGUAAUAACAUUAUUGUAAAUAUGUUUUUUCGACAAAGCUCAAGAAGAUAUAAUACUAGCAAUAGUUCAAUACCCUCAAAUAUCUAAUAAUUUUGAAUUUUUAUGUUAUUCUAGUAAUUUCAGCACUUUGUAAAAUUGAAAUAGCAAUCUUCUUAUUUAUAAAUUUGAUUUUUUGUCAUAAAUUUAUUAUUGAGUAGCAACAAAGUAUAAUUAGCAAUGUACUAGAUUUUACCAGACUAGUGGAAACUCUAAUCUAUUGCUAAAAUUUCAAAAGCCAAUUUUCAGUAAAUUCUUGAUUCAGCAGCUUUUAGCUAAAAUGCGUCUAGGAUCUUUACCAGGUUUUUUUAGUACAAGAACCUUAUUUUUUUAAUACAGAAAUCUAGUACAAGAACCUUAUUGUUUUAAUACAGAAAUCUAGUACAAGAACCUUAUUAUUUUAAAUCUUUUAUUUUAAUACAGAAAUCUAAGCUCCUCCUACGGUUCAGCCCACAAUUCCGAAAACCAUGGAAAACGCGAGCCCCUUGGUUUUUGAAACUUUGAAUAGUCUAUUGUUGGGUAUAUAACUUAAAGUAUUAUUAAGAGCCUAUUUAUAUAUAUUGGCUUUCUCCUAAAAUCAUGGAGUGAUUGGAAGAUACAAGAGGUUUUGUCCAACAUUUUUAAAUCGAAGUCGAAAAACUAGGAUGAUGUGAUGAUACACACGCGCGGCCAUAUGGGUACCAACCCCUAUCUUUCAUUAUUCUUUUUGGACUUUUCCUUCUUUUUUCCUUCUUUUUUCCCCCUAAUAUAUCUAUAUUUUUGGACAUUUUUGCAUGGCAUCUUCAUCUAUCUCUCCUCCAUUUGUCGUUCUUUUUCAGUUCAAUGUAUUAUCAACAAGAGUUCACUAACCUUUUUUUUUGUCGACUUUAUGAGUUCACUAACCUUUUUAUUUUAGACAUUCAUGGGUUUGUUUUUAGCUCGACUUUUUUUUUCUUUUUUCUAGAUUUGGAUUUUUCUAGCUUCACUUUUGAUAGAAUUCGGGAGAAAUAUAAAUUGAUAAACAAAAGGAAGAGUUAACGUCUGAAAAAAAAGGAAGAGUUAACGUUGGAUUGACAAAAAAAGCAAGAGUUAACGUUGGAUUGACAAAAAAAGGAAGAGUUAACGUUGGAUUGAAAAAAAAAAAAAACGUCGGAUUAUGUAUUAGAUAAACCUCCAUGAUCCAUAUAUAAAUAUUUAUAUCAUUGUAUAAAUCUAGCUAGAAAAUUGGUCCUGUCAUAUAUGACAAUAAUUAUAAUUUUUUAUUAAUUUGUUUAGCAUAACACGACAAAAAAAUGAGUUGUAUGUUCAUGUAUUGUAUGCCUCUGUUUUUCAACCUAUUACCUAUGCAUCCUAAUAAUAAUGGAUCAUCAUCUUUGUCUGUCAAUCACAAUUUUAGAGCAAUAUAUGAUAGUUUGGUUCCUCGGUUAAAUUCUAUUUAUGCGAUCAACAAAAUAGUGUAUUGCACAUAUCAUUUGAUUCUUUUUCUAUAUGUAAAGGAAUUAGUAUCUUUUACAAUAUAAAAUUAUUUUUAAAUGUAAUUUUCUUAUAUCAUUGUAAUUUUAUCGGAUGUCUCCCAAAAAAAAAAAAUCUAUACAAAACUUCUAAAUAACUUGAGAGGACUAUGAAUCUGCUAACUAAAAUUUUAGAGCAAACAUCAUCACAUAUUUUUUCAUAAUAAACAGUAUAUUGAUGUGUAUUUGGUUGAGUCUUUUUAUCAACUUAUAUGAGAUCAUAUAAUCAUUGCAUGUUAUUAUUUCGCAGAAUAUCUUCAUUAGUUAUGGGGGAGAUAAUCGCCACCCAUGUGAUAGCCGACAUAAAACAGUUAUCAUAGGUACUAACAGGAUGUAAAGGCUAUACAUACUCUACAAUGGCUAUAUGUUAAUUUUGCUUUGAUAAAAAAAUUCGCAUCAACGAAAAUCAAUUUCCAAUUUGACUCAAAAUAAAAGAAUUUGUUGUUUAGCGUAAUUGCCUAAUUGGUAAGCAGUUUUAGAAUUUAGUGACACAUUCAAAAUCUCUCAAGUCUGAUUCUACGAAAUACAAAGAAUAAUACGUUUGAACUAAGUGGUUUUUAUCAUUACGAAAGCUAUAAAAUGCAAACAAUGACACGUUCAGGUAUACAUAAACUUGAUUAAAUUUCUAUCAAAAAGUUUGGCAAAAAAAAUUGGCAAGUAGUUGAAAUUUGUUUGAAUAUUUACGUUACCAUAUGGAAAUGAGCUAUAAUUAAUUAUUGAUAUUUUUCUUUUGAUUUUUAAGGUUUGUUUAUAGGCGACACCGAAGUUACUUGUAUUAUAUAUUUACAAUAUACCUUUGUCGCAUGAUUAUGUUAAUUAGUUAUUUACAUAAUAGUGGUCAACCAUUAAAAGGACGACUAAUGAACAAGAGUUAAGGCCAACGUUAACUAUAUUCUUUAAAUUAACAACGCCGACCAAACCUUAAAUAGUUGGAUUAGGUUAUUUCAGUAAUUACAAAAAUUGAAAUGGAAAAAUCUGAGAGUGAGAGGGAAACUCCAAAACCACGUUGACCAAAUAAAUCACCGGAAACCAGAAGCUGGAAAUAUGAGCAAAAAAGCCAAAAGCCAAAAGAUUGUAAGUAGGAAAACCAUCUGCGACGCCCAUAGAGAAGAAACGAAACCGGUUUAGUUCCUACAUCAUCACUUUUCCCUCUCCGGAAAACCAGGAAAUUCUGUACUUACGCACAAGUGUAAUUAUACGUAAAGAAAGGUUUGCUAACGCUUGAUUUAAUAAAAGAACACAGUGGAAAUAAAAAUGAUUUGCAGAAGAAAUAAAAUUAACAAAUUGAAGUCACGGAAUUAAAAAAAAAUAAAACUAUCAAGCAUUUAUCAUCGAUAUUUUCUUGAUAAACUUUUACUGACAUUAUUGUAAGCUAAAACUUAAAUUUUUUUUUAAAAUUUUCUAUGUUUUAUUUACGAUUUCAUAUUUAAUAAUAAAAUAUUUAUAAAAAAAGAUUUCGCUAUUUUAUAAAUUACUAAUCAAAGACUUUGCAAGACAUUACAAUAAACCUUACUAUUAAUUAUUGAAAACUAUAAAUAUAGCAUUUGAUUAAUAUGUCAAAAAGAGUUUUUGCGUUUGGAUUAUUUUUUAGUAAUUUUUUAUUGUGUUGACAAUUUUACCACUUUAUGUAUAUGUUUAUGUAUGGUAUACAGAAAAAUAACAUAAAGAACAAAAUUGUUUUUAAACCAAAUUUUUUUUUUUAAAAAGUGUCUAAACACGCUUGAAACUUUGAAAAAAGUGUCUAAUAUUUCUAUGUUAAAUAUGUUGAAUGUUGAUGAUAAAAUAUAAAAUAUGUUAAAAAUGUUAUAUUUAGACAUUUUAUUGUAAAUAUAUUGAGUAAUGUGUAUUUAAAAAAAGUAACUAGAGAUUAGGUUAGACUUCGACAUUCAAUGCCGGUUGUUUUAAUGAAAGAAAACUACCGAAUCUAACCAAUAUACGUUGACAUUAUUAGUUUAGUUAAAAAGUACAAUAAUUUAGUCAAAGUGAUCCUUUCAGAUAAAUUUAUUAGUAAGUAGUUCUUCGGAUAUUAAUGUUAAUUAUCAGAAUUAAGAUGGAGCUACAUACUGUAGCCGAUCAGAAAACGCGGCGAUUCGACCAACCUCUGUUACCAUAGUGUCUCCGCCACGCGACCACACUAUUCCGCUUUGCAUGCGACUUUGAAGUUCGAACCUCUCUGCUCUUAUUUCCCAUUUUACCCUCUUCUCUUUUACGAGUAAUUUCGCUUUCAAAUUCACCUCCUCCAAUUAUUUUGGCAGUCCAUUAUGAAUUGUCGAAUAUAAAACGCGGUCAGAUAUUAAAAAAUAUUUGAAAACACAAAUAGAAACGCUUGCUUGGCUUUUUUGCCGAUGAAGAUCACGUGAAUGAAGGUCGGAGACAAAACACAAAAAAAGCUUUGAUAUAGUAUUUUUCAUAUUUAUCAGUAGGUAGAAAAAAAAAGAUUGUUAAACAAAAUUGCAUCGGAUGGUAAUAAAAACGAUGAAAACUAAAACGACGAUAAAUGUCCAUGUUCAAGUUAACAUAAUACUAGAGAUAACACGAUUCAUGAACCCUUUUUGUUAUUAUAUUGUGGAACACUUUUGCAUAAAGUAUAUAAACUGUAGAAUGCAUUUCUUUUAAAUUUCGAGUUCAAACUUUUUUGGGACAGAAUGUUAUUUUAUAAAUCAAAACAAAGGCUGACUCCAAGUAUUAAGAGAAAUUAUGUGUUAAAAAUCUCAAACUCUUAUAAUUCAUCGACAAAUUUAAUAUUUUGAUAUGUUCUUCAUUUUAAAAUAUAAAUCGGUUUAUGAUCUAUUUUUUUUGUUUCAAAAUAUAAGUUGUUCUUGAUAUUUUAUGCAUAAUUUUUAAAAACAUUUCAAUUUUAACCUUAUUUUUAUAAUAUAUUAAGAGAAAGACAAUUAUAUAAUAUAUUAAUAAAAAAUAUAAUAGAAAUUUUAAUAUACUUUAUUAAUAUGUGUACAACCAUCUAAAACGACUUUUGAAAUUGAUGGAGUAUUUAGUAACAUAUUUUUAUCAAUUAAGUAUAUCAUAUUAUCAUUUAUCUUUCUAUAUAGUCAAUACACAUUUUCAUUUAUCUUGGAGUACUAAAUUUACCCACAGUAAAUUGUGGAAUUCAUUUUUUGUUUUGUCGCUUACGAAAUUCAUCUAAGCAUACUAUACGAUACAAAUUAUGAAUAUACACAAAAAUAAAUUCCAUCGCUUGUUAUGAUCUCUCUCCGACCAAACCCAGCAGCUUCCUUUCUCUCUUAAAUACCUCUCCUUUCUUCUAAGCUCAGGACCGUACUGUACUUUCCUCUUAGCACAAAAAAAAAAAAAAAUUCUCCUCUCAUCUUCUUUCAAAAAAAAAAUGCGUAUGAGCUGUAACGGAUGUCGAGUUCUUCGAAAAGGCUGCAGUGAAAACUGUAGCAUAAAGCCUUGUCUCCAAUGGAUCAAAUCCGCCGAAUCUCAAGCCAACGCCACUGUCUUCCUCGCCAAAUUCUACGGCCGUGCCGGUCUCAUGAACCUCCUCAACGCCGGUCCUGACCACCUCCGUCCUGGUAAACCAAUUCGUCAGCUCAAAACAGAUUUACUCUUAUCAUACAUCUGAUAAUAGACUAUCCCCCUGUUUCCGAAAACAGAGGACUCUGUUUUUUCCUUUAUCAUGCACUUGAUAGUGGAUCAUCCCCUGUUUCUGCUUUUUUUCUUUGUUCUCUGUAAUCAUGCAUUAGUGGAUUAUUUUCAAACAGAUGACUCUGCUUUUCUCUCUAUCAUGUAUCAAGAAAUGGCUCAUCCCCUGUUUCUGCUUUUUCAUUGUUCUCUCUAAUCAUGCAUUAGUGGAUUAUUUCAAACAGACGACUCUGCUUUUCUCUCUAUCAAUAUCAUGCAUCAAGAAAUGGCUCAUCCUCUGUUUUUAAAGCUCUGUUUUUUUCUCUAUCAUUCCUCUGACUAUGGAUCAUGCCCUGUUUUUGAAAACAGAGGAAUCUGCUUCUUUUUUUCUUUAUCAUGCAUCUGGUAAUAGUUUUGUUUUUUUUUGUUUUUUGUUUUUUUUUGCAGCGAUAUUUAGAUCAUUGUUAUACGAAGCAUGCGGGAGGAUUGUGAAUCCGAUUUACGGAUCCGUCGGGUUAUUAUGGUCCGGGAAUUGGCAUCUUUGUCAAGCAGCCGUGGAGGCAGUGAUGAGAGGCUCUCCUGUAACUCCGAUCGCCUGCGACGCAGCGAUCACAGGCCAGUCUCCUCCUUUCAACAACAACAAACUCUUCGACAUAAGACACGUGUCGAGAGACGAGAACGGCUUAAAGAGUCGGUGUCGGUCGAGCCGUGGUGCAAACAAACAAGAGAGAAACGUGAGGUCGUCGCUGAGUCACGAGUCUUCACUGAGUCACGAGUCGACGGUGGUGAAGGAUGAAGGGAGUAUGGUUUCGUCGGAGGAGACGAUGACGGAGGAACCGAGUUGGAUCGGGCUUGAGCUUACUUUGGGGUUGGAGCCGGCCAUGGCACGUGAGAGUCACGUGGUGGUGCCGAUGAAGAAAAGGAAGCUAGAGAGAUGUGGCACGUGCAAUGAUGAGGACACGUGUAAGAUUGAGCUUGGACUUGUGUGCAGUGAGUGAGAUGAAUGGUGUGUUUUUUUGGGGCUGUGUGUUGAGUUUUAUUAGCCUUUUAGGUGUACAAAGAGAUUAGCAAAUCUCUCUUUUUUAGUCUCUUUUAAGUUUUGUUUUGUUUACUGUUUUGCAUGUUCGGUGUUUUUUCAUAAAUGUGUAUGAUAAAGAGGUCUUAACUUAACAAAAUUGCAAUCUUCAAAAAUCUGUGCGGAUUAAAUGCAGAAGAUCUAAAAAAUUAUAGGAUGCAUUAAUUAAGCCUCAAAAUUUCAAAGUGGCUUAGUGGUGAAAUCUCAAUAUAAAUAUACAUGACGAUUUAGCCAUUUAUCAUAGAUAAAGCAUAUGGUUUCAUUUAAAAGCUACAUGUGUGAUGUGUGUUAGAUUUUGGUUCGCAAAGUUUCUCACAUGUGUGGUGAUGGAUUAAUUAGGUAGAGAAGAG